UGCUUCUUCGUCUUCUUACCGGUGCACAUAUGAUGCAUUCUUGAGUUUCAGAGGCGCAGAUACACGCAAGGGCUUUACAGAUCACCUCUACAGUGCUUUGGAGUUGGCAGGAAUCCACACUUUUAGAGAUGAUGAUGAAACUGAGAGAGGAGCAAACAUUGAACAGGAGCUACAGACAGCGAUACAAGAGUCACGAGUAUCAGUCAUAGUUUUCUCCAAGGACUACGCCUCUUCCAGGUGGUGCCUGAAUGAACUUGCUAUCAUCAUGGAACGUAAAAGAACAGAUGGACACAUGGUUAUCCCGGUUUUCUAUGAUGUGGAACCAUCAGAUGUCAGGAAGCAGACGGGCAGUUUUGCAUAAUCAUUUACUAGACAUGAAGAGCGCUUCAAGGACGAGAUAGACAAGGUGGAGGAGUGGAGACGAGCUCUAGAAAUGUUGCAGACCUGGGAGGGAUGGUUUUAGGAGAACUGUAAUUUUUCAUUCCCUCCUAUAUUCAGUCAAGUAAAUCAGAUGCUAGUCUCAAGCUUGUGAAAGUUUUAGCUUUUCUUUAAAAAAUAAAAAUAAAAAAUAAAUAACUUGCUCAUGUUUUUUCUUUUGGUCUGAAAAGAAAGAACUUACUGUGCCUCAUAUUUUUUGAUAUCAAUAACAUAUAGGUACGAGUCACAGUCAAGGAUUUAAAUAUCGAUAUUAUCGGCGAUAUUUCGCCGAUAAUAUCGUUUUUUACAGAGACCGAUUUUUUUACACAUAUCCAGUCAUUUAUCGUCAAAAUAUCGCGAUAUUAUCGAUAAUAUCGCGAUAUUAUCGAUAUUACCGAUAAUAUCGCCGAGCUCCGUCGUCAGCGACCGGAGCUGCUAAGAUCUACGCGAUUUGGGGGGGGGAAAGAGUCGGGAAGAGGAGUCGCGGAGAAGAGGAGUCGCGGGGGCGCGAGAGUAGCGGAGAAGAGGAGUCGUGAGGGGGGGAAGGAAGAACGGUUGCGCAGCUGGGUGGUGGAUUUGAGCGGUGGGGGGGAAGAACAGUUGCGCAGCUGGGUGGUGGAUUUGAGCAGUUUGAAGAAAGUUUCUGCGGAGGGGCUGUGGGAAGCGGUUUGAAGAAAGUUUUUGUGAAGGGGUUGUGGGAAGAAGAGUCGCAGAGAAGAGGGGUCUGGGAAUCUGCAGAGAGGGGGGACGGUGGGCUUUGGGAAUCUGGAGAGAAUGGUUCGGGGGGGUGGCUGGGAAGAACAGUUGCGGAAGGGAGUUGUUUAUGUGGAUUUGAGUGGUUUGAAGAAAUUUUCUGUGGGUUUGAGUGGUUCGAAGAAAAAGGAAGGAGAGGACUGCAGGAGCUGCAGAGAAGAGAUGUGGAUUUGAGUGGUUUGAAGAAAUUUUCUGUGGGUUUGAGUGGUUCGAAGAAAAAGGAAGGAGAGGACUGCAGGAGCUGCAGAGAAGAGAUGGGGGGACCGGAGAGAAGAGAUGUGGGUUUAAAGUGUAAAAUAUUGUACUAAUUCAUUAUAUAUAAAUGAUUAUGAUGUGUUUAAAUUAGAUUAUUAUUCAUUAAAUUAGGUUUUUUUUAUUAUCAAAUUAGAUUAUUAUUCAUUAAAUUGGAUUAUUAUCAAAUUAGAUUAUUCAUUAAAUUGGAUUAUUAUCAAAUUAGAUUAUUAUUCAUCACCAUGUUUUAUAUUAGGAUUAUUUUUUUAUGAAAUUGGAUUAUUAUUCAUUAAAUUGGAUUAUUAUGAAAUUGGAUUAUUAUUCAUUAAAUUGGAUUAUUCAUUAAAUUGGAUAACUACUCUUCACAAUACACUCACUCUACACAUAGAGAUGAUGAAGAUAGUGAAAAUUUUGAACCUCAUAAGAACUCUAUGUGGUACUAAGUCACUUAUGUAUCUUACCAUGCAAUGUAUAAAGUGUAAAAUAUUGUACUAAUUCAUUAUAUAUAAAUGAUUAUGGUGUGUUUAGACUUCUUUCAUUAAUUACUACAUAUUUUCUACACUCACAAUGUUUGUCAGCUCGCUAUAUAAUCAACUUGAUAAUGUUAAAUCCAUCAUGCAAUGCAUUUCUUUCCAAUUUUUUGUGAUAAACUAAUAGAUAAUUGACUAAAUAAACAUCCUACAAAGUUUCAAUAAAAAUUUCCAAGUUUUUCUUACAAUUUCCGUGGUUUCCAUGUAAUUUUUAUCGAUAUCGAUAUUUUACCGAUAUUUCCAUCGAUAUUUCCGUGUUUUCGGACUACCGAUAUUUCCGAUAUUACCGAUAUUUAAAUCCUUGGUCACAGUUUAUCCAAGAUAUUGUCGAAGCGGUUGGAAAUAAACUGGACUACAUGAGGAAUAGGAGAUUAAGAGUUGAUCCCUAUGUUAUUGAAAGAGGUUAUUAUGUGGAAAGCCUAAACAUGUGAUUACUGAGGGAAAAUGCGGUACCCACCUUUGACGUGAUUACUGAGGGAAAAAUUCAAAAGAUUCUUUGCAUGAGUUUUGAUUCUUUACAAGAUCAUGAUAAACGUUUAUUCCUCCAUAUAGCCUGUUUCUUCAUAGGAAAAGACAAGGAUUUUGCAACUACAAUCCUUCAUGAAUGUGAUUUUGCGACAGAAGUUGGACUUCAACACCUAGUUGAUAGAUGCCUUGUGGAAAUUAAUGCCUGCAACAAGUUAACCAUGCAUCAAUUGCUUGAAAACAUGGGAAGGGCAAUAAUUCGCGAUGAAUCACCUGAGGACCCUGGAAAACGCACUAGACUGUGGCAUAAAAAAGAAGCAAGUGACGUUUUGAGAAAUUUAACGGUACGAAACAUGAUCUUUAACUGUAUUUAUUUGCAUUGGUGUUCUACAUGUGACUAGUAACUUAUCCAAUGCUCUUAUUUGGUGGCAGGGUACGAGAAGUAUUAAGGGCCUCAUGCUCCACUGUCCCUCAACAUUUGAAACAAAGGCAUUUACAAAGAUGCUCAAUCUUGAACUACUUCUGCUUGAUAAUGUAAAGUUGAGUGGAAGCUAUGAAGAUUUUCCAAAAAAAUUAAUAUGGCUGUCUUGGCGAGGAUUCUCUUUAAAAUCAAUUCCAGCCAAUUUUUGUAUGGAAAAUCUAGUUGUUCUUGACUUACGGAAGAGCAGUCUGCAACAUGUUUGGAACGGAACCAAGGUAUCUUCUAAUCUCUCUCUCUCUCUCUCUCUCUCUCUCUCUCUCUCUCUCAUUACGCACAAACAAAAAAAAAUCAGUGAAACUAAACUGUGCAUUCAUAGCAACUAAUGACUUCUAUUUGAUACAGAUUCUUACAAGAUUGAAAAUUCUUAAUCUCAGUCAUUCACAUGGCCUUAGGACAACAUCUGACUUGUCCGGACUCCCCAACCUUGAGAAACUAAUUCUUAAGGAUUGCAUUAAUUUGGUUGAUGUUGAUGAAUCCAUUGGAAAUUUGGGGAAACUUGUUUUCUUGAAUCUAAAAGAUUGCAAAAGUCUUAUGAAGCUUCCAAAAAGAAUGAACAUGUUGAGGUCUCUUGAGGAACUUAUUCUUAAUGGUUGCUCAAAGCUUGGUCCUCAUGACAGUGCCACGGUUAUUGAUUUACACGCUACAUCUAGGGAUAUGAAACAAAUUAGACUGUUAUCAGCAUUAUCAUGGACACCUAUCAGGUAUUGGUGGAUGUGGGCAUGGCCAGGAAAGACUCUUCAAUCAACGAGUUUCUCACUGGCAAGUCUACCCCGUUUUUUGGGAAGCUUAAGUAUGUCUUACUGCAACGUGUCAGAGGUUCCCAAUGAUCUGUGUACACUAUCUUUGUUGAAGGAUUUGAAUCUAAUUGGUAACCCAAUUUUGUGCCUACCACAAAAAAUGAAGAGUCUUAUUAUGCUCGAGACUCUUUUGUUAGAUAAUUGCACAAACCUUGAAAUUCUUCCAGAGCUCCCACCAUGGUUGAAGAGGUUAGAAGCAAAAUAUUGUACUUCAUUGAAAAGAUUAACAAAUUUACCAAACUUGUUCAGAUCAUUGGAAUCACUUUUUUGGGGUUGUGAGCAUUUAGUUGAAGUUGAAAGCUUGUUGAAUAUAAAACCGGUGAGAAGCGCUGACAUAGAAAUGACAAGAUAUAUGGGCCUGUUCAAUUUGAAAUCCAUAGCAAGCACUGAUGUCGAAAUGAUCAACUACUUGACCAGUACAACCAGGAAGGCUCCUGUCCAGGUCUUUCUCUGUCUCCUCUCUCAUGUAUAGUUGUUCUAAUUAUUAUAUCUAUGAACUAGUUGGGCCUAACUGUUUGAAUAGUUAAAUUUGAAUUGUAGAUUCUUGAUGAAACAGGUACUCUAUGAAUGUGGCAUAUAUAGCAUUUUCUUUCAUGGAAGCAAGAUUCCAGAUGGAUUUGGCUUCACAAUAAUAUAUAGAUCUGUGCUGUCAGUUAUUGUACCUUCACAUCCCUUUCUCAAAAUCCGAGGCUUGAAUUCAUGUGUGUUAUAUGCAAGAGAACCAGGCUUGGAAUAUCGUCUUACUGUUCAGCAUUUGAUUAAAGUCAGUAAUCAGACCAAGGGUCUUAUGUGGACCUAUUCCCCACUCACAGUAGGUUUGCCUACUGAGAAGGAAGAUGUUAUGGCUAAGCAAUUUUCGAUUUGGAAACAACGAAUUGGAGUAUGGGGACGAAUUACGUGUUUCGGUGGAGAUGCAUGAUUUUGUCCGGGUAAAGGAAUUCGGAAUUCAGCUUGUGUACGAGCCGGAAAGACCUCCUUCUAGCCAGAAUAAUGUUGUUGCUGGAGAUGUGUCACUGUCAGCAUCAGAGUACCAAAUGUGGACAGGAAAAUACUUUCUCAGUAAUCAUGGGCACCGUACUCAUCAAGCUCAAUUCCGAAAGAGACAGGAGAAUCCAGCACAUAUUGAGUUUUCAUUUGGGCCAGAGUGUCUAUUUCAUAAACUAUUCAAGGCCCGAGGACCAUUCGAAACUGUUGUGAAACUUAGAGCAUAUCCAGCAGAUUCCCCAUCUGCUUCUCCUCACCCAUUUUGGCUAAAAUAAAGAGAAACCUUCUCAGUUCUUUAUCCAGCAUCAUUCAUUUAUGGUUGGAAAGAAACAUCAGCAUCAGUUUUCUUGGUGAGUAUCGUCCCUUUAUUCUUUCUUGUCAUCUCUUUCUGAAUAUAUACUCAUGGCUUUGUUGGAUUUGUUGCUCUUUGCUUAUUGUCUUUGAUUUGUUAAUUGAAUGAAUAUAUUAAACAAAAAGAGGGGAAAGCUCUUUGAACUCAGAACAACAAGGUCAUAAGACCAAUCAAGGAAACAAAACCGGAACAGUCCUCAUGAGUUAGCAGAUGAGGUUUGAAAACCCCUAUAGAGCAAAACCAACUUGAGCGUAACAGCAGUGGGACUACAUGUAUUUCUGAAAAACCUACAAUUAGUUUCCCUCCAAAGCCUACUCCUUACAAACGAAUCUUGAGUUCCUGCGACGUAGUAUUUGGGGUAACUUCUAUUUGGACACAUUUAUAUGAGCAAACUUUUCUUAUUCUAUUAUUAUGCAUUCGGAUUAGAAAGCCCGCGAUCAAUAAGAUAUUGAAAACGUGUAUUUCCUGAUACAUUAUAUAAAAUUAAUAAUUCGCUAAAUUCAUAAGAUAAUACAUUAUAGAAAAUUCAUAUAGAUUCCACAUAAUAUGUAAAUUAAUAAUUUCCUAAUACAUUGUGCCUAUGAUUCGACAAUGAGGCCUUCCUAAAAUAUAACUCAAUCAUUGUUUGUUUUUUUUCUUGAAAUUGAUACCUUGGAUCUUAUCUUUUUCUUAACAUGAUAAGAAGUUGUGAUGUGGUAUUUUCAUACUGCAACAAAAAAUUAUUCAAUGUCAUCACCGCUUUGAGAACUUCUUUUCGGGAAAUGGGCUCCAUAGUAGAACCAUGUACAAACUAUUUUUGGAAAAUAAGUAGAUUCAAAAUUUUACUUGGUUAAACAAUAAAAUCGUUAGUUUGUAAAAUAAGAAACUAAAUUAAUAACUUAUUAAUUUAUUAAUUAUUUAAUAUUUUGCUAAAUUAAUAAAAAAAAAUUUGGUCGCGAGGUUAUUAAUUUAUAGAGGUCUAAUGGAUUUAGAUAGAGGACACUAGGUAGGUUUCCCUUUAAAGAGUCUGAUAUGGUUGCUUUAAGUCUCACUUCUGCCAUAUCUAAUUUACAUGCCGCAGUCAGAUUUUCCUUUCCCUGUUGAGUCAAGUUCUUAACAUUCAACCUAGAAAUGAUAAGAAUUUCCACCAUUAUUGUGUUUUGAGGUGUUGAGCAUCUCCCUUUCAUACAAUGGGAAUGCAUUUACUACGGUAUCCCAAAUCAAUUAUGCACUACCAUGCUUGGAUAAACUAUAGUAAUGUCCUCGCAUGGCAUGCAUGAUUGACUCGAGAUACUGCCAGAAUGUCAUCUUUGUUGUAGAUAAGUUUUUCUCCCCUAAAUAUAUGUUCACCAAGGAAUUUACAUGUGAAAUGAAACUCUAAGAAAAGAAAUUUAAAAAUGAGAAAGUGAUCCACCUAAUCACGUGUGUCGGUAUGUAAUUGGGCCGCGCAAGGACCAAUGAACAAAAAUUUUAAAUGUCACAAUACAAGCUAUAGUAAUUUGUUAACUGCAUUUGAUUUCAUAUUGUUUUAAGUUACGAGCAGUGAAGACAGGGAACAAAAAUGGAAUGAUAAUCUGUGUUAGAUCAUAUUCUAAAACAAAUUUCCAACACUCUGAAUCUUGCAGCUUUUGAGCUGCUCUGUGUUUGACCAAUUAGUAGAGACAAAAUUGGAAGAGAUCAUCCUGUAAUAUCUAGUUAAACAAAUCAAGGGCAAACAAUUUUACGCCGCCCUUACCUAGUUUACCCUUCCUUAAUGUCAACCUCUUCUCUUACAAAAUUUGUAUAAGCCUAACCUGCGCGCGCUAUAAAUUCCUAAUUCUAAUCUUGGGACAAUGUAAAAGGGGUGCAGCGGGAAGAAAUAUCUAUCCCAGCAACCUCCAUGGCAUCACAGACCACUCGGGCACAUGACAUUUUUUAAACUACAAGACAAUAAGAUUUAAAACACUUAAGAGUUAUGUGGCAGGUAUUGCACAGAGGGGAAACAAAAGCACAAGGCUGGCUAAGCAAACAAUAAGAGAGAAGAAUCGUCGUAUACACAAUUGUUUUCUACCGAUAGUGAAUGACAUAGCAGACAACUAGAAGAAUCGUUUUAUACUAAUAGCGAAUGACAUAGCAGACAACUAGAAGAGAGUAAUGAUUCUCAAGAUAUAGCUUAUUUACUUAUCCCUUAAGAUUAUUCACAAGAGCAUUCGAUUUUUGUUAGAAACGCUAUAUGGAGAUUACAAUAAUCAUGACAUUAUUGUGCGCCAUUGUGCUGAUCGUUAUGUUCCUGACAGGAACUAAUUACCUCUCUUUGAAACGGUGUCUUCCAAGACAGAAAAUCCUUAAUCUCAGUCACUCACAUGGCGUGAUGACAACCCCUAACUUGUCACAAGUCCCUAACCUUGAACAAUUGAUUCUCAAAUAUUGCUUAAAUUAGGUCGACGUAGAUGACUCCAUUGGAUACCUAGAGAAACUUGUUUUCCUGAAUCUAAGACUGCAAAAUGUGAGUGCUGGAGAUGUGUCAGCAUCAAAGUAUCAAAUAUGGAGAGGCAAAAUGCUUUGUGUGUAAUCACAGUCUAGACCAUACUUAUCAUCCUCAGUUCAUAUUUCAGAAAGGACCAGAAGAACCCGGCUCAUCUUGAUUUUUCAUACGAUCCAGAGGGCUGCUUUUUUUAAUAAUCAUUACUUACUUAAGCACAUCGAGUUUCCUCAGGAGGACGAUGAAUAUUGUUGUGUUUUGCCACCCGAAAGGGUAAGAUUUUACAAGAGAAUAAAAGAUAAAGAAGGCGAUGAUUAUCGACUGCGUCUAUUCAAAAGAAGGGUAGAUUUGGGCACUAUCCAGUUGCGGUGCUAAUCAUCGGGCGUUGAAGAAAAGAUCAUGGUUUGUUUUCUUUUGUGAGUCUUAUUUUCUGUUUCUCUUUGUAUAGUAUAUACUAUAUAUGCAUUUUGUUUGAAUAAUUGAAUCUUCUUAACUCGAUCUUUUCAAUAUUUUGUACAAAGGAUGCAAGGGUUCAAUACUAGAUGUAGAUUUCAUAUCUGAGCUCCAAAUAUUAAACUAAACAUGGUAAAUACCAAAAAUAUACAUGACAAUAUUUGGGAAUUUCUUCUAUAUUCAUUAAUCUCCAAAGUGAAGUAUAUAUAGGAGUUACAAUUGGUAUUACAUAUGUAUUUCACCAAUGUGGGACAAUAAACUACUAUUUACACUUUAACUAAUAUAUAACUCACAACACUCCCCCUCAAGUUGGUGCAAAGAUAUCAUGCAUGCCCAACUUGUCAAGCGAGUUGGAAAACACACUAUUAGACACAGCCUUAGUAAGAACAUCAGUAAGUUGAUCUUCAGAUCCCACAAACGGAAACAUAAUAAUUCCAGCAUCCAAUUUUUCCUUGAUGAAAUGUCGAUCAAUCUCCACAUGUUUUGUUCGGUCAUGUUGCAUUGGAUUAUGAGCAAUCUCAAUAGCAGCCUUGUUAUCACAAUGAAGUUUUAUAGCACCCUUGGGUUUAAACCCAAGAUCUCUCAACAAUUUUUUCAACCACAACAACUCACAUACACCAUGAGACAUACCACGAAACUCAGCUUCUGCACUUGACCUAGCCACCACUUUUUGUUUCUUGCUUCUCCAAGUAACUAAAUUACCACCCACAAAUGUAAAAUAUCUAAAUGUAGAUCGCCGAUCAAUAAUAGAACCUGCCCAAUCUACAUCUGUAUACCCUUCGACAUUCAAAUGAUCAUUCUUGGAGAAAACCUAGCCUCUGCCAGGAGCCAUCUUCAAGUACCUCAAAAUACGGGUUACUGCAUUCAUAUGAGCUUCACUAGGUGAGUGCAUAAACUGACUUACCACACUAACUGCAUAACCAAUGUCAGGGCGAGUGUGACACAAAUAAAUUAAUCUCCCCACAAACCUCUGAUACUGAUGAGCUAUAUAUUUUCACAAACAAAAUAUAUUAGCAAGUCUUAAUAAAAAUGGGGAGACUUCAAAAUAAUAAUAGUAAUAAUAAUAGAGUCCAAAAUAUGGACUGACCAGAAAUAAGGCUCACUUUAUGUGUGUAUGUGCAUAUAUUCUUAUAUAUACUAUAUUUAUAUAAUAUAUAUAAGAAAUAAAGAGAGGGAAAAACAACUCUACACCCGCACACGUAGACCUCAACGUACACCAAGUCUGAAGGAGUUUGUCAUCUACAUGGCAACCAGGUAUAGAGAACGUGUGUAUCUAGAACCCUCUAAAACUCCCACGUUCUCCACUCAAGAGAUGGUUUUCUCUCAGCAUCUCCACACCCCAGGAAAGUUGCAUCCCACUAACUUCAACUGCCAUGUCCACUGUUCCUAUAAAAAGGCAUCGAACCAAAGCAAAGAGGACAGAAGACACAGAAAGAAAAAGAUAGACUCUGCAGAAAUUGAGAGAAAAGAUUGCAACGAAUGAGAGAUACAGAAACGCUGCAGAAAUUGUGGGGCACAAAGAGAGAACAAACGGGAAGAGAAAAGGAACAUAAGAAUACAGAGCAGGAGUGGACGACAAAAAGGAAAGGCAAGGACUCAAAAAGGUAUAAAUCCAUUUUUUUUUUUGGGGUUAAUCUUUCCUUUGUAUUUCGUUGUUAUUUCUUCACUUUGUAGAAGAAAAAGCACUUUGCUUCUUCAUCCUCUCCCAUUCCACGAAACAAAGGUGGAACUCUAGAUAAGUAAAGCCCAAACCCUUUCCCAUAUUUCGUCUACUAUGCCUAGCAAAUGAUGUCGAAACUCGCCAACGACGCAAGAGAUGAGUUCGAACAAGGCAGCAACCAAACCGCCGGACACUACCACUUCAACAACACCGAUGGCCAUAGUGAUCACGCCGUCCUCAAGCCCAGCGUUGCUACUGCUCCGUUUUAGGAGCUCAGUCCAAAGUUGAAAUCAAUGUUGUUGCUCCGUUUUAGGAGCGCAGUCCGAAGUUAAAAUGAUUGCUGCUGCUCUGUUUUAAGAGCUCAGUUCGAAGAAAUAAAAAAUCGGCGUGUUGCUACUGCUCCGUUUUAGGGGCGCAGUUUGAAGACAUUGACGGUUGUUGCUGCUCCGUUUUAGGAGCUUAGUUCACAGAAUUUGGCGUUUGUUGAUGUUCUGUUUUAAGAGCUUAGUCCGAAGUUGAAAUGGUUGCUGCUGCUCCGUUUUAGGAGCUCAGUUCACAGAAUUUGGCGUUUGCUGCUGUUCCGUUUUAAGAGCUUAGUCCGAAAUUGAAAUGGUUGUUGCUGCUCCGUUUUAGGAGCUCAUUAGAAACUUCGAGUGAAGAGAAACACGACUCAAAGAAUUUGACAUGAUGCUGCUACUCUAUUCUUCGAAGACGUUCCAGAAAAAAGAGGAACAAAGAAAUAGUCUUGUUCAUCACGUGGGAGUCUGCUCACAUGAAGGAAAAGUAAGGUCGAUUGAAAUUAAAAGUCCCAUUGGAACUUGGAGACUUUUAAAAGUCAAACAAAGAAAAGUAUAAAGCUUGCUGUCAUAUUGGUCAUAAGUUUAAGGCCUAGUUUGGGAGUGAGGUGCUUAAAAAAAAAGCACCCAUGAAAAAAAGCUGUGAGGGUUUUAGGUGUUUGGUAAACUGAAAAAAAAAAGGGCUUAUUUUGGAAGCUGCUGUGAGAAUAAGCUGAAAUCAAAGGAAAAAGUUGAAGUUUCUAUUUGCAGCUUUGGAAAACUGGUUUUUUUUCAAACCACACGGAGCUACAGUGCUCCUUUAAUGAAAAGACCCACUAUUAGACUGCUUUUUUUUUUCAAAAGCACUUUUACAAAAAAGUUUACCAAACGCUCUGCUGAUUUAUUUCACAGCCGCUUAUUCUCACAACAGCUUUUUUUCAAAGCACAGCAAUACCAAAUGAGCCCUAAGUCAGAUGAGUUCGAAGUCCCAUGUUUAAAUGGGUUUUGAAAAGUUCAAGGAAGAAUAUAAAAAGGGGAGGGGAAAUGCUAACUGAAAUCAGCACCUCACAUGGAAAGUUGCUCACGUGGGGGUUAAUAAAGUUAUGGGAGUUCUUUAUGGUAAUUUAACUUGUGCCAUUUCAAAUUGGAUCCCAUCCUCUUCGAACCAUUAAGGAGACAUACGGCAGUGACAAAAGAAAAAUAAAGAAAGAAGAAAAACAAGGGACUUAAAGCCUGAGAAGGCAUUGGUAAAAGAAAAAGGAGCCCUGACACUUGCUUUUAUAUUUUCCAUAUGAAAGUAAGCAUUUUUUGUGCUGCCAUGCAAAAGAUAGAAGGCAACAAUAGAGUAACGGGCUUGUAGGAAAAAUAAAAUGGGUUCCAAGACAAAAUAAAUGAAAAGGAAGACAAAGUCAAAUACCAAAGUAAAAGUGGGUUCAUCACAAAUAUUCCCCUUAAAUUUUACAAGACACAAAUGGCACAAAGCUGCGAUCAAUCUAAAAAAUAAAUGAACUACGCCGGUUUGAUUCCGUUAAGGAUACGUAGGCAGUCUGAUAUCAAAAUUUUAGACGCAACCGUGAAGCUGAAACGAAUCUCUGGUUUAUAUAAACUAAAUUCACUCCUACUAUCAAAUACCAAAAUGGCACGAAGCCAAAGAAAAGUUUCAAAGGGCAUCAAAUCUCGAGUGGCACGACGCCGAAGAAAAGUCUCAAAUGGCAUGAAGCCAUAUCAAAUUUUCAAAUGCUUCUCGCCCGCAUGAGCUAAAACUGCAUAAGGCACCAUUUGCUCCAAUGGCUUAAAGUCCUCGCCCGCAUGAGCUAAAACUGCACAAGGCAUUAAUGCUCCAAUGGCUUAAAGUCCUUGCCUGAUGAGCUAAAACUGCAUAAGGCAUUAAUGCUCCAAUGGCUUAAAGUCCUUGCCUGCUCCAAUGGCUUAAAGUCCUUGCCUGCAUGAGCUAAAACUGCACAAGGCAUUAACACUCCAAUGGCUUAAAGUCCUCGCCUGCACGAGUUUAAACUGCAUGAGGCUUAAAGUCCUCGCCUGCACGAGUUUAAACUGCAUGAGGCAUUUAACACUCCAAUGGCUUACAGUCCUCGCCUGCACGAGUUUAAACUGCAUGAGGCAUUAAAUGCUCCAACGACUUAAAGUCCUCGUCUGCAUGAGCUAAAAUUGCACAAGGCAUCAAAUGCUCCAAUGGCUUAAAGUCCUUGCCUGCAUGAGCUAAAACUGCACAAGGCAUUAUUGCUCCAAUGGCUCAAAGUCCUCGCCCACACGAGCUAAAACUGCAACAAGGCAUCAAAACCAAACAAGUACUAAAUACCAAGGAACUACGAGUGACUUGAUCCCUCAACGAGGGUACCUAGGCAAUCUAGGGCUCUACCUAGGUUCUGUCACAAAAUCAAAUAAACAUCCAAAUCCCCAAGUUACGAUUUAUUCAUAUUAGAAUCAAAAGGGUAUUCUUUUCCCAAAUGAAGGAUUGUAAUUAAUAGGCGCGUAGCCUAGAAUGGGUCGAACUUGAAUUAAUAAAACCUUCUUCAAGAAAUGAACAAGGGUGAAAUUGUGUCGAGUGAAUUAUUUGUUUACAUAUUGUGUACAAUUUUUGCUCAACAGAUACCGUUCCUUAUGAGUAGGAACUUGAUAUGGAAAUAAGCCCAGAUGAUGAUUCUGCUCAAUCGUAGUAUCAACAGGUUUGCAAUCUAACAUACCUAUUUCAGCUAACAAAUCAAGAACAUAAUUCCGUUGAGGCAGAAAAAUGCUUGGAUCGUGCAACCUCGAUUCCAAGAAAAUACUUCAAUUCACCCAAUUCUUUCAUCUCAAAUUCAGUAGCUAGGUACUUUUGAAGGCAUUGUAUCUCCUUCUGAUCAUCACCAGUCACUAUCAUGUCAUCAACAUAAAUAAUCAAUACAGUUAGCAUACCAUUUUGUCGCUUUAGAAACAAAGUAUGAUAUGAAUGACUCUGGAUAUACCCAAACUUCUUCAUUGAACUUGUAAACCUCCCAAACCACGCUCUAGGAGAUUGUUUCAAACUAUACAAAGCCUUUCGUAACUUGCAUACAACACCUUUUCCAGGAGAUGUUCCAAUACCAGGUGGGAGAUCCAUAUAAACUUCCUCCUUAAGAUCACCAUGAAGGAAAUCAUUCUUAACAUCAAACUGCAACAGAGGCCAAUCCUGGUUUACUGCUAAGAACAGAAGAACACGCACAAUAUUUAGUUUGGCAACAUGAGCAAAAGUCUCCCAAUAGUCCACCCCAUAGGUUUGAGUAUAACCCUUAGCAACUAAUCUGGCUUUAUACCGGUCAAUAGAACCAUAUGCUUUGUGCUUAAUAGUAAACACUCAUAUACAUCCAACGAGUUUCUUCCCGUUUGGUAAAGGAACCAAAUCCCAAGUAGAAUUCUUUUCCCAAGCUUCCAUCUCAACUUUCAUGGCAUUAACCCACUUAGGGUCAGACAAAGCAUCUUGCAAUUUUGUUGGAAUUGAUACACUAGAUAGCUGACAUAUGUAAAAUGCAUAUGGUUUGGACAAACGAUGAGUAGACACAUAAUUGUUGAUAGGAUAUUUGGCUUUGGCAUGCAUAUCAGGCUCAUAUUGUACUUUAGGUUUUCCACGAUUAGCUCGUGGAGGCAACUGAUAAGUAGAAGAAUCGUCAGAAUUUACCUCAUGUAUGCCACCAUCUUGUACCAAACUGUUAGAAGAAUCAUCACUAGACGAACCAUCAUCAGGCAACUCGUUAGACAUACCAGCAGCAAGCAAUUGAUCAUCAGAAGGUAAUUCAUCAGACAUACUAACAGGCAACUUGCUGGGCACAUCUAAUCUGUCGUCAGUAGAAAUAGUUCCGGGAAUGACAGGUGACUAAUCACUAUCUGUAGCCGACUGAUCAGUAUCACGCAACAUAAUAGGUUCUGUUUCCAACUCUGCCUGUAACACAUCAUCCAUAUCAUCUCUUCGAAUUUGCACUUCACUCCCUUUUUCCCCCUGAAGUGGAGAGUUAGAAGAAGGCUUCACAAAAUACAAAACUUCCUUGUGGAAUGUAACAUCCAUGGUAAUAUAAGUUUUUUGAUUCGGAGGAUGAUAAAACUUAUAGUCUUUUUUAUUGUUAGCAUACUCAAUAAAGACACAUCGGAGAGCACAUGCAUCAAGUUUACUCUGUUGAUGAGAGUAGACAUGCACAUACGCAAUACACCCAAACACUUUUGGAGGAAGCUUUGAUACAUAAACAAGAGAAACAUGUUUUUGUAGCACAUCAAGCGGUGUCUGAAAAUCAAGAACCCUACUUAGAAUAGAUUGAUCAAAUACACAGCAGCCAAAACAGCAUGACCCCACAAAUGAUUGGGAACACAUUUAUCCAACAUCAAGGAGUGAGCAACCUCCAUUAUUUGACGAUUCUUCCGUUCGGACACACCAUUUUGUUAGGGUGUAAACAGAGUAGUCGUCUGGUGAAUAAUACCAUGAUCACGAAAAAAGCAUGCCAAAGUGUGAUUCACAUAUUCUUCUCCGUUAUCAGACCUGAAGACCUUAAUUUUGGUUUGAAACUGAGUAGACACCAUUGUACAAAAUUCUUGAAGAAGUAACGGAACAUCACUCUUAUUCUUCAUAAAAAACACUCAAGUUAACCGAGUACAAUCAUCAAUAAAAGUAACAAACCAACGGAAUCCAUUAGAAGUAAAUUUCGCAGGACCCCACACAUCAGAAUGUAUCAAAUCAAAUGGCAAAGUAGCUUCAGAAUCACUUACGGGAAAGGAAGCACGAUGACUUUUAGCCAUGACACAUGGUUUCACACUUGAACUUUGAAUCACUACAAGUGCGAAACAAAGGAGGAAAUAGAUGCUUCAUAUAACUGAAUGAUAGAUGUCUCAAUCGUUGAUGCCACAACCAAAUUUGAUGUCUGUCAUCCAUUUUAGCACUUAAAACUUGAUAAUUAUUUGAACCGGAAAUAAUAGUAUCCUCCAUAGUCAAGAUGUACAAACCCCUUAUUCUUUUACCAUAACCAAUUAUCUUCUGAGUUUGAAUGUCUUGAAAAUAACAAUACGUAGGGUAGAAAUGAGUAGAACAAUAUAAGGUAUCAAGAAGUUUUCCUACCGACAAAAGAUUGCACUUAACAUCAGGAACAAGUAAAGCACGGACCAGUGAUCAGGUCAAAGUCAGAGAGAUAGUGUCUUCACCCUUCACAGGGGAAGGUGCUCCAUUUGCACUAGUAAUAUACGGAUUACGAACAUAGUCACAUAACUCAUCAAACACUCUAGGGUCACUAGUCACAUGAUCAGUGGCCCCAGUAUCAAUUAUCCAUUUAUUUGUUCCACCAAGAUGCAUAACAACACUAUGAUUAUAUUGAGUCAUUGAACUAAAUCACGAACAAUAAAGGCACAAAAAAUACGCAGCGGAAUAAAAAUAAUUUACCAGAACACUGUAGCAAUCACUGUUCACUGCAAUGUAGUAGAUACUAUUCACGACUGUAGAGGAUCACUGUUUACGACACUGUAGAGGAUCACUGUUCACGCAAUGUAGCAAAGCGUUGUACUAUAACGCGACACUAUUCAAUUUUUUUUUUCAACGAAGGAAAUCGCGAAAAAAGUGGACACAAAAUUAAAGCACACAGGUCAUCAAGAGCGAACUGCUAUGAUGCCAUAUUAAAACUAAACACGGUAAAUACCAAAAAUAUACAUGACAAUAUUGGGAAUUUCUUCUAUAUUCAUUCAUCUCCAAAGUGGAGUAUAUAUAGAAGUUACAAUUAGUAUUACAUAUGUACUUCACCAAUGAGACAAUAAACUACUAUUUACACUUUAACUAAUAUAUAACUCGCAAAACCAUAUUGGUUCAUAUUUGAGCUCUUUCAGCGGAUUAACACUGUUGUCAGCGAAUAAAGGAGUUUAAUCCAACAGUUUACAAUAAGACGGGCAAAUCUUCCCGUUGUUUAUUUUCCCAUUUCUUCUUAAUUUUUUGUUUUUGCUCCAAUCUUUCUUUAUUUUUUUUUUUCUUAUGUUUUUGCUCCAAUCUUUCUUUAUCACAUAACCGUAGCUACUUUCUGGUUAAAUUCUUUUUUUUUUCUUAAAAAUAAAUUAAAAGCUACUUAAUACUAGGGUAUAGUAAUAUUCAUCUUUACUUAUAAGUGAAAUAUGUCUUAUAUUCGAUUUUCGUCACUUAGCCGUCUUCUCACUUCUUAAUAUAGAUAAUAUCGUCUGUUCAAAACAUAAAAAAGUAAAUUAAAACACUAAAAUUAAAUAAUAAAAAAAAUAAAUAGAAACCCAACCCUCGUCAAUUUCCUUACCCCAGUGUGAGAUUUGUCCAAACGUUAGAUAAUUUGGGUUGGGUGAGGUGGGUUGGGGUCGCUUCUCAUCUAUUCAUUCACCCCUUCACAUCUGUGCAUCCACCCCAAUUUAGAUGAUUUGGGAUCUUGGAUUAGCAAUAUUUUUCAAAUAACAGAGAGGAGACUGGAGAGAGAAAGAGGGGGGAGGAGUAAGGAAGAGCGAGAGACAAUGGGACGGUUAGAUUUUGGAAUUGCUAUGACAUAAAAAUAUUAAUAAUGAUAAAAGUUAAUUAGAGUUAUGUGAGAGGACACGUGUCAAGCUGAAGUUGUGUUGGUAACAUACACUAGGGUUAAGUUUGGGCAAUUUUGCUCAUCACCACUCUAUUUAUCAUUGUUAAAUGAGUUUAAAUUUUGAAAUUUGUAUCUAUCCAUAGUAGAAUAUCAGGGUACACAUAACAAACAUACGAACAAACAGAUUAUAAAUUACGAAUAUUAUUUGAUUAAUGAAAAAACAAAGAAAUAGGAUUGACAAGACGACUACACUUAAAGACUACAUUUUAAUCAACUUAUUAUCAUACUAAAUUACAAGCUAUAUGUAUAGAGAACAAAACCUAAGAAACCCUAAUUUGAAUGAGCUAAGCCCAAAUCUUAAAUUAACAAGCAAACCCAAAUAAUUAAAUAACUAAUUUUUCAACACCCCGGUCAAACUCAUGGUGGUACACGACAUGAGUUUGCCAACAAGAAAAUGUCGAUGCAGGCUUCGCUAGGUGGACAAGCAGGCAAGCAAGCAAGCUUGGCUACGCUGGACUUGACUUGACUUGCGAAUUAGCAAACUGAUUAUGUUUCAGACAUGCAUGAGGGUAUGGAAAGAAAGCAUAUGAGUGCUCCCCAUCAUUAAACGAACGAGAUUUUCAUAUCCCAAUUACAGCAAUGGACGGACAAAAAGAAUACUAUCACUUAAGUGGUCACAAGUCCAAAACAGUCGCAAAAUUCCCAUACAGGCCAACAACUCGUGUGGGCCUCAAAGACUUCAAACAAAAUCAAACAGCCCAUUUCUUUUUGCCCUUUCCUCAACCAAAUUCGUGGGCCUCAAACAUACCGCCACUUUUUCUCCUUUUUCUUUUCCUUUUUCUCUCUUUUUCUUUUUCUUUUUCUUUUUUACAGAUCUCUAUAAUUGUUGCCCCAACACGACAAUUUUGUUAAUUCUUAUUAAUGAAGAGGAUUUUUCAAUCUUUCUUUGUUUCGUGCAGUUUGAAUUUGCCUGUGUUCAAAUCUGAACUGAAUCAUUUCUUUUUUAAACAACUGGUGUCGGGAGAGGGGGCCUCUGCAGGCUUUUAUCAACUUUGAGUUACAAGUCCAUUGAAAAUUAAUAAUUGAUUUGUCUCUUUAAGGAAGAAAGGCCAUAGAAAAUUAAUAACUGAAUUAUCUGUUAAUUUAAUUAUUAUAAUAACUGAUUUGUCUUUUUUUUUUUAAAUUUUUUUAAAUGAUUUGCAAGAGUAGAAUUUGAGCUAAGUCACACGCUAUAAUUUCACACCGAACGAAAAUCGAAUCUAAGACCUUCUUUUUUAUAAGUGGAGAAAUUUAUAAUUGAAUCUUUAGAUUUUGCAUUAUAGUCACUCUAUAGUGACUCUUUUAUGACUACAAAAAAUGAUUACUCAAUUUUCGUGGGAAACGCGAAUUAUACACGUACCUUGAGUACUUUUUGGAAAAGCCAUGUAUAAUUUGUCUGCUGACUUUUAUUGGUAAAUAUCUCAUGUAAAUGUUGGUUUGUUUGGGCUUCCCCACCCUCAUUUACCCCAAAAAAAAGAAAAAAAAAAAAAAAAAAAACAAAAGACUAGUCCUUCUUGAGCUUCUCUGGUAGCAUGAUCAUCUCCCACAUCCUCUUCUUCAUCAACUCUUAAGACCGACGCCCAUUCAGAUCCUUGGAAGUUUGAACAUGGUGAAGAGGAACUAUAGUUAUCCACUUGAGUUUGCGAGUUAGCAAAAUUCGAUUUGUGAAAUCGUCCAUUUCAAGUGUCUUUUUGAAGAAACUAGUUGGGACUUUCAUCCAACAGCUUGCCGGCUGAAAGAAAACUCGCAGCUUUCGACAUCUUACAAUACACAACUCUGGUGUGUGCGAGGUACCUCCAAGCUCCCCUCUUGUGAAAACAUACAUCUGCUUGUAUUAUUAGCUUUCAAUUGAAAUCUUCAUGGCCGAUGAGUCAAUGCAUUGGCUUUGGAUCCUCUUGCUUUCUUAUCUUUAUUUUUCUUUUUAAUAUUGUCCUAUGAAAUUUGUUUUGAGUCUCUAACUCACACUUAAAGCACCGCCGUUACACUGAAAAUUUUCUCUAAACUAGUGGGUCAUUCUCUUUUGUUUAUGAAAAAAAAUCAUGAACUUAUCCAAUAAAUUCCACAUAUCAUCCCUUAUUGACAUAACUAGAUUCAAGUGCUACAUUUUAUAAUUACACAUUAGUUGGUUUUUAGUUUUUUAUUCCAGUUCUUUGAAUUUUGAUUAAACGCUUUAACUUUACAUGUGUUCUUUUCUUAAUUUUUAACUCAAUAUGUUAUAUAAAUUUAAAGAAUAUAAAUAUGAGUCUCUAAAUUCUUGGAAAUUGUUUUGCAAGACUUUAAUUUAUUUUUUUUUCAGAAACGUGAACUAAAUCCAUUCAUGAAAAAAGAUCCAGUCCUUUUCUUUUUUUCUUCUCAAAAUAAAUAUGAGUCAUUAUUUUAAUAAUUAAUUUAUUAAAAAUUGAUAAAAUAUAUUUUUGUAUAAAGUUUUAAUAUGAAUUUCUUUUAGGGUUGUCAUUAGCUUUUUACGUACCAACGCCUUCAAACUUAAGCCACAGCCCACUCCCAGUCCAAAUCCAUAAACCCAGCCACUUUAAUUGUUUUCAGAAGAGUGGCAGUUUCUUAAAUAAAGUGAAAUGCAGCAAAAGUCACUGUAGCUUAUGAACAAUGCCAAGGGAAAUUUCCCUAGUGCCAAUUCUUCCCCAAUUUAGACUAUAUAGUAAUAUGAAAAAUUCCAUCUCCAAUCAGACUUUCAUUCUUAAUACAAGUUAGCAUACUUACUAGAAACACCAAUUAUUAUUAUUUUUUUUUUUUUUUCUGGGUAAUACUAAAGACAUCAACUUAUUAGUUUUAGGAAAACUAAUGAAAAUGACUUGAAAACUUUGAGUUUUAAUAAUAAGGACAAAAUAAAGGGUAAAAUGAAUAGUACCAGGUUUGACUUUUUAGUGUAAAAAUGUGGUUUUUCGUUAAAGUAAACAGUACCAUGGAUUUUUCGUUAAAACUACCAUUAGUUUUUGCAUCAAUUUUUUAAAUCCCAAAUUUCGUGGCAAUGUUUCAACGCAUUUUCUGUUCACAUUUUACAACAAAUAAGAAUUUGCAUUGUGACUUGUUAACAAUUAACUGGUGUCUCUUGCACUAUUAUUAUGUUUAUCAUUUCUUACAUACUUCCAAAAUUAGACAUGUAAUAUGAUUUGCAUCUCAGUGUUAAAUCAGAUGUGUUUGGCAGCUGGAGAAUAUAUUCUCAAUUUGCAUUCCAAUUUGUAUAUAAUAACUUUUGUUCAUGCAUGCACUGCAACAGAUGGACACUAUUCAAUAGCUACGAUGAGCACCGAGCAGCAGAAUGCUUCUUCGUCCUCUUACCGGUGCACAUAUGAUGCAUUCUUAAGUUUCAGAGGUGCAGAUACACGCAAGGGUUUUGCAGAUCACCUCUACAGUGCUUUGGAGUUGGCAGGAAUCCACACUUUUAGAGAUGAUGAUGAAAUUGAGGGAGGAGCAAACAUCGAACAGGAGCUACAGACAGCAAUACAAGAGUCACGAGUAUCAGUCAUUGUUUUCUCCACGGACUACGCCUCUUCCACGUGGUGCCUGAAUGAACUUGCUAUCAUCAUGGAACGUACAAAAACAGAUGGACACAAGGUUGUGCCAGUUUUCUAUGACGUGGAACCAUCAGAUGUCAGGAAACAGACGGGCAGUUUUGCAGACUCAUUUACCAGACAUGAAGAGCGCUUCAAGGACAAGAUGGACAAGGUGGAGGAGUGGAGACGAGCUCUUAGAGAAGUAACAGACCUGGGAGGGAUGGUUUUAGGAGAACGGUAAUUUGUCAUUCCCUCCCUAUAUUCAGUCAAGUAGAUCAGAUGCUAGUCUCAAGCUUGUGAAAGUUUUAGCUUUUCUUUUUAAAUAAAAAAAAUUAAAUAAAUAACUUGUUCGUGUUUUUUCUUUUCGUCUGAUAUAUUUUUAUAUCAAUAACAUAUAGGUACGAGUCGCAGUUUAUCCAAGAUAUUGUUGAAGCUGUUGGAAAUAAACUGGACUACAUGAACAUGUGGAAAAGGAGAUUAAGAGUUGAUCCCUAUGUAAUUGGAAGAGAUUAUUAUGUGGAAAGCCUGAACACCUGGCUAGAAGAUGGAUCAAAUGAUGUUGGAGUAGCUGUCAUCCAUGGAAUGGGUGGAAUAGGCAAGACCACCAUUGCUAAAAUUGCUUAUAACCAGAACUUCUCUAAAUUUCAAGCUAGCAGCUUUCUUUCAGAUAUCAGGGAAACUUCCAAACAAGCGAAUGGUUUUGUUCACUUGCAGAGGAACCUUCUUUCAGAUAUCCAAAAGAGGAAAGUGAACAACAUAUACAGCCAUGAUGAAGGUAUAAUAAAGAUCAAACGGGCUGUACGUUGCAAAAGAGUUCUUAUUGUUCUCGAUGAUGUUGAGAACUUGGAACAGUUCAAUGUGAUUCUUGGAAUGCGAGACUGGCUCCAUCCUGGAAGUAAAAUUAUCAUAACAACUAGACAUGAACAUUUGUUAAGGGCUGAAGUUUGUGUAAGGUUUAAGGUUGAAGGAUUACCUGAGCAUCAAUCACUUAAGCUUUUCAGUUGGCAUGCCUUUGGACAACCCCAUCCUCAAGAAGGUUACAUGGAGCUUUCAAGACCUGUAGUAGAACAUUGUGGAGGGGUUCCAUUAGCUCUUCAAGUUCUGGGAUCUUCUCUAUUUGGAAAAACAGUAGAUGUAUGGAAAAAUGCAUUACACAACCUAGACGUGAUUACUGAGGGAAAAAUUCAAAAGAUUCUUGGCAUAAGUUUUCAUUCUUUACAAGAUCAUGAUAAACGUUUAUUCCUCCACAUAGCCUGUUUCUUCGUAGGGAAGGACAAGGAUUUUACAACUACAAUCCUUGACGAAUGUGAUUUUGCCACAGAGGUUGGACUUCAACAUCUGGUUGAUAGAUGCCUUGUGGAAAUUAAUGUCCACAACAAGUUAAUCGUGCAUCAAUUACUUCAAGACAUGGGAAGGGCAAUAAUUCAUGAAGAAUCACCUGAGGACCCUGGAAAACGCACUAGACUGUGGCAUAAAGAUGCAUUUAACGUUUUGACAAAAUUAACGCACUACAAGAAAAAGGCCUUUUUGCGACACAUUUUUUGCGUCAAAUUACACUAUCGUCGCAAAUAAAAGGAAAUUAGCGCGGUAUUUGUUAGCGCGAAAAUAUUUGCGACACCACUAUAAGUAACGUCGCUAAUAAUGUCGCAAAUAGAAAUAUAUGUCGUCUUAAACAGAUUGUUUGCGACGCCCCUAACGACGGAUAGAGUUUGAGCGGGAACAAAUUGGCGCUUAGGGUUUGAGCGCGCGCACUCCUUUUUUCUUUUUCCCAACGCAGCCUUAGUGCUCUCCCUCAACCGUUUCUGUUUCCUUUUCCUUUUCUCUCAGAGAUUCAAUCGAAAAUUCUGGAGUUGUAUCAGAGUUACGGAGCACAAUCAGAGUUCAGGUAAGCCACUACAACCAUCUCCAUCUUCUUUCUUUUUUGAUUCCAUAAGUCUUGCUAAGUGAUUUAUAGGGUUUCUGUCAAAGGCGCACAUAUCUGCUAAAUGUCUUCCAAAACCUAGGGUCUUUGGCAUCCGGGAUUGGGAUGUCUUUCUUUUUUCCACCCAUUCUGCUCAGAAUCGGUUUGAUCAUCUUCCUCAGUACCUUGUUAAACCCCAACCCACGUCUUUGAUUGCUAAGUGAUUCCAUAAGUCUUGCUUAGUUCUCUCCCUCAGCCUUAGUUUUCUCCCUCAACCGUUUCCGGUUCCAAUUAUUAGUUUGGACUGGACAACGCCUGCGUUUUGGGCUGCAGGUUUUCUUAAUAUGUUUACAGCACAAACAGAAAAUUUUAGUUAAAAACAAACCCUGUUUUCUUAAUAUGUUUACAGCACAAAUAGUAAUUGAUUUUUAGGGGGAUUGUGCUUCUUGAUUUUCUAUGUGCCUUUAUUUUUAAUUCGUGGACAUCUUGCCCAAUUUUUUUUUUUUUUUUUUUUUUUGUAAUUUUGUUGGCAUUUGCAACAAUAUAUUUGGCUUCUUCUUCUUCCUUAAAAAUAUGGUGAAUGAUUAGAGUGUACCUUUUACAGGCGUUGCUUUUCCAUAGAUUGGGAAGAUCUUGGAGAAGGCCCUCGCACAAGGUAAAGUGGAUGAUGUAGGAUUGUUUUUUUGUGUGCUGACUAAAAGUUUACCUUGGAGUAAUCUCUUAUUUGUGACACUCCUUGAAAUUCUGGAUAUAUUUUCUUUGAGUAUCAUAUGCAAAAGUCAAAGUUGCCCAAAGUUCAGAGGAUACAUUGAAUGAAGAAUUGGAUAUGUAUUUCGUAUUUGCUACCCAAGAAUAUGACCGUUUGGAUUGUUAAUUACCCAUUCCUAGCUAGUUCAUGUGUUAGGUAGGUGAAUGAUGGGGAUUAGUAGUGAGUUUAUCUAAUUUUUAAGUGAUAGUUGAUGGCAGACCUAGAGUUUGUCUAAUUACCCAUUCAACUCAUAUUAUAUAAGCCCACCUUUUAAAACUCAAUUGCUUCCCUUUAUUAUUUAUAUUUUUAAUAACUAGUAUUAUCAUUAUGAAUGUUGAGAUAACUCUGUAUGUGUAUCGCCUAUUCCGAGCUCACACAUUAUCAUGCGUUAAUGCAUAUUCUUUUGUGUUAAAGUAGAAUACUGUUUUUGGAAUAGUUUGGAUUGACAACUUAUCUCAUAUUGCUUAGUGUUUAACAUUCUUUUGUAGUUCAAAUAUUUUGGAUUAACUAUAGAGAUCAGAUCAAGGGUGCUUAAUUCUUAGUUCGGUAUGUUUUAUAUCCACCUUUUAAAUAAAUUUUUGAUUAAUUUUACUUACUUUCUUUGUAUUAUUUUCGGAUGACAUUAGGUAUGGACAAGAGUUGGAUAGAUUUAAAUGACAGAUGUCCCUGAUGCAUAUAAAUUUCAUUGCUUAAAGGUUAUUGGCAAUAGAUGGAGGGAUUGGAAGUGUCGGGUUAAGCAAAGAUGGUAUGACGCAUACUUGACCGAUGAACAACGUUUAUCCUUCACUCCUCCUCAAGUCACUACAGAUCAAUGGAAGACACUAGUAAAGUAUUGGGGCCUCCCUAAUAUAAAGGUAAAUUAGGAAAAAUUACAUUUUAAGUUUAUAAUAGUGAUGAAUUAUGGUUGCUUUAAACAUGUGUAGGAAUAUUCUGAGGCAAAUAAGGCUAAUCGUGCACAUGGAGGUGCUCCUCAUCGGACUGGUCGUACUUCAUUUGCUCAAUUGAAACAUGAGGUCAGAACACUAGUUUUGCAGUGAGUAAUAAGUGAUAAUAAUUAACAAUAGGACUAAUACUAAUACAAGCAGGGGAUGUAUAUAUAUAAACCAUGCUGGAAAACUGGAAUGGUAUCAUUUGUACCAGGUCCAAUUUGAAUACGGCAUGAUGGAAAUGCUGGAAAGUUUUUAUUUUCUCCAUUUAACAAUUUUCAUUACUAACUUGAUUAAACAUUGUGUGCUCUUAAGAUGAGAGAGAAGGGAGAGAAAACGGAUCAGUUGAGCAUGUUUAUAAAAACAAGAACAAAGAAAACAAAGAAUGAUGACAGAGACCUUUUCGAUGAGGAAAGUGGCCAAAUUAUUGUAAGUAUCAGUUAGGUUAUAUAUUUUUCACUCAAAGUAAAACUUUGCAUAUUCACAUCGUUUUGAUUAGUUGGGUUGUGCAUUAUUUUUAUCUUUUGGUCAUUUGAAUUGGUUGGGUCAUGUUUUGUAGAAUCAAUUUAAUCAAUGCUUGGAAGAAAGGGAAGAGCAUGAGCAAGACGAGGAUUAUCGAGAGGAGGUGUUUACUAGAGUUAUGGGACCUGAUGCAUAUGGACGUGUUCGCAUGUAUAGAACAGGUAUAACUCCAUCUCAAGUGUUUUGUCAAAGUUCAAGAUCUUCCAAUGUUAAUGAGGACACCAUACGAGAAGAGGUAGAAAGACAAUACAAGACUAAGAUAGAUGAUCUUAAGGCUAAGCAUGAAUCUGAAAUUGAAGAUCUCCGAUCCAAGUAUAGUGAAGUCAGUUCGAAACUCCAUCUUGUGACGACUCAUAUUGGUUUCCAUGUUAACACAUCACCAAGUGGAAGUGGACAGGUAUAUACAUUCGAAUGUGAUUUUGUUCUCUUUUCAAUUUAUUAGAAUAAAUUAGUGUGAAAAUUUGAGCAAUUUUGAUUUCUAUUUGUCGUGUUGGUGUUAAAUAUAGGCUCCAAAUACAUCAAGCCAUCUACAAGAAACAUAUGGGAGUAAUGAGCAACAACCUCAGUUAGACCCAGAACCAUAGAAACAAUUGCUUCAUAAAAGGUUUGUAAAGAAAACAUUAUACUAAAGAUUAAACUUUUAAUUGACACAUGUUAUUGAUGGCUGUGUAAUUCUUAUUUUUCAGGUUUGCAUGGAGAUUGUGAUGAAGAGUCUUGAUCAUAAUUAAACUCUUGAAUAUGUUGGAGCAUAUUUGAAAAAAAAAAUUAUGUUCAUAACUUUUGAGACGAGAUUAUUUAUAUUUGACUCUAGUAGGAUUAUAUGUAUUGGGAUAUGCGGAUGGUGUACUUUCAAUGUUAUUAGGAAUUCUAAAAGCAUAGUUCUUUGAUUCAUAUAUUAUUUUACUUUUGAACUUGGGAUGAUUGUGAAUAAGAUUAUAAAUUGCAACCUAAUCUUUCAUUGAACAAAUAUCAUUUCCAACCAUUUUGUAUUUAUAACAAAAAAAAUUGUAGGGAUAAAAGCAUUUACGACGUGUCAAACAUGUCCCAAAUAUUUUGUUUAAUUCCACCAUCAAAGCCGUUGCGACGCUAACUAUUGUGUCGCAAAGCUGUCGUAAAAGAACUUCGCGGCGCUUGAAAUGUGUCGCAAUAAGUUGUGAAAACUUUUGCGACAUGGGUUUGUUGCGACGCAAUCACAAGUGUCGCAUGAGCGUCGUUAAAACGCAUAAACGACGCUUUCAUGACUUAACACGACGAGUUUUUAGCGUCGUAUUUAGCAAGUUUUUUUGUAGUGACGGUAAGAAACAUGAAUUUUAUGUGUAUAUAUUUGCAAUGGUGUUCUACAUGGUAACUUAUCCAAUGUUAUUAUUUGUUAGCAGGGUACGAGAACUAUCAAGGGCCUCAUGCUCCACUUUCUCCCAUCAGAUUCAUCUCCGGUAAAUGAGGUAGGUUUCAAAACAAAGGCAUUCACAGAGAUGCUCCAUCUUGAACUACUUCUGCUUGAUAAUGUAAAGUUGAGUGGUGUGGAGCCAAAAAUAUUCACAAAGCGACACGUGGGUUUUUGGACAAAAAGGACAAAAAUACCCUCGAGGCAUACCGGGUCUCCUACACGCGAGCAGUGGAGAAUCAUCCAUCAACCAAGUCAGAAGUACCCAAAAUGGGUAACAAUUCAAAACCUAUUUCAUAUAUGUUUUUACCUCAUUGUUUCCUUAUUCAAUUAGCCAUUUAUUUCAAACAUUCCAUAACAUCCUCAACCAAUUAAUAUAAUCAAUAUAUUAAAGGCUAAUUACAUCACCAAAUCACCCCAAAAUCACACCAAGGGCCGGCCAUUCCCAUCCAAAAAGAGCCUAUCAUAUUCUCUACCUUUUCCACUAUUUUCCCUUUUUAAUUACACUAAUUAGCUAGCCAAUUAAACCCAUAACCAUCAAAACAUUCCUUUAUGUUUAAAUUAGCCAAUUAAUCAUAAUAAAUUGGCUAAUUAAACCUAAAUUAAACCUAAAAACCCUAGCCACCUCUUAACUCUAUAAAUAGGCACCUAUUCUCACCAAAAAAUCAAGUCCAACACUUUGGCAAAAAUCCCAAAAUUCUCUAAACACUCUUUCUCUCUAAAUUCUAACUUUGGCAUCGGAGGUUCUUCGGCCAAAGCCCCCCCCCCAUUCAUCGUGGGCGCGUGAGGCUCUUGGCCUUAACCUAAGGUGUUAAUUAUUUUGUAGGUGCAAAAUCGUCCAAAAUCGAGGAGGAAGAAAUUUGCAUCCACAAGUGGAAGCUAUGAAGAUUUUCCAAAAAAAUUAAUAUGGUUGUCUUGGAGAGGAUUGUCUUUAAAAUCAAUACCAGCCAAUUUUUGUUUGGAAAAUCUAGUUGCUCUUGACUUACGGAAGAGCAGUCUGCAACGUGUUUGGAAAGGAACAGGGUAUGUUCUAAUCUCUCUCACUCUCGCUCUCUCUCUAUCUUUCUCUCUCUAUCUCUCUCUCUCUCUCUCACUCCCAGUGUAUUAAAAGCGUGAGGCGUGGGCGAGGCGUCCGAGGGGAAGCCCGGCCUAGGCGUGAGGCAAAGCCUCACGGGACCUAAAUUUUUUAAUAUAUACACUGAGCGUACACAUAUAUUAUAUUAAAAAUAAGAAAAUUAUUAAUCAAUAAUCACCCUGAGCACACACAUAUAUUAUAAAUAUAUAUAUAUACACACAUAUAUAUACAUAUAUUAUAUUAUAUAUGCAUAAAAUAGAGGAUGAAAAGCACAAUGAGCACAUAUAUAACAAUGCACGCAAACAACACACAUCCAUUAUAUAAAAAAUAAAAAUCAGAAAAAAGGCAUAGAGACAAAAGUGCAAGGAAGAGGUAUGAGGCAGUUAAAAUCCUACCCAAAAUUUGGGUUUGGGAGUAAAGACAAGACAAAAAAAAAAAAAAAAAAAACUCACUGAGGCGUGCCUAGGCGGCUCCGGCGAAGCCUUUCGCCCACUCCAACAAAACUGAGGCGUUAGCCAUGGCGCCCAGCCUCAAGGGCGCCCUAGGCGCGCCUCGAGGCGAGUUUUUUAAAACAUUGCUCAAUACACACAAAUAAAAAUAAAUUUUAGUGAAAUUAGACUCUGUAUUCAUAGCAACUAAUGACUUCUCUUUGAUACAGUUUCUUACAAGAUUGAAAAUUCUUAAUCUCAGUCAUUCACAUGGCCUUUGGACAACAUCUGACUUGUCCGGACUCCCUAACCUUGAGAAACUAAUUCUUAAGGAUUGCAUUAAUUUGGUUGAUGUUGAUGAAUCCAUUGGAAACUUGGGGAAACUUGUUUUCUUGAAUCUAAAAGACUGCAAAAGUCUUAUGAAGCUUCCAAAAAGAAUGAACAUGAUGAGGUCUCUUGGGGAACUUAUUCUUACUGGUUGCUCAAAGCUUGUGCUUCAUGAUAGUGCCAUGGUUAUUUAUAUACACACUACAUCAAGGGACAUGAAUAAACUUAGACUGUUGUCAACUAUAUCAUGGACACCAAUCAGGUCUUGGUGGAUGUGGGCAUGGCCAAGAAAGACUCUUCAAUCAACCAGUUUCUCACUAGCAAGUUUACCACAUUGUUUGGGAAGCUUAAGUCUGUCUUACUGCAACGUGUCGGAGGUUCCCAAUGAUUUAUGUACACUAUCUUCCUUGAAAUAUUUGAAUCUAAUUGGUAACUCAAUUUUGUGCCUACCACCAAACAUGAAGAGUCUUAUUAUGCUCGAGACUCUUUUGUUAGAUAAAUCCAUAAACCUUGAAAUACUUCCAGAGCUGCCCCCAAGGUUGAAGAGGUUGGAAGCAAAAUAUUGUACAUCAUUGAAAAGAUUAACAAAUUUACCAUUGUUCGGAUCAUUAGAAUCACUGUUUUGGGGUUGCGAGCAAUUAGUUGAAGUUGAAAGCUUGUUGAAUAUAAAACCGUCGAGAAGCACUGACAUAGAAAUGAGAAGAUAUAUGGGCCCGUUCAAUUUGAAAUCCAUAACAAGCACUGAUGUUGAAAUGAUCAACUACUUGACCAGUACAACUAGGAAGGUUCCUGUCCAGGUCUUUCUCUCUGUCUCCUCUCUCAUGUAUAGUUGUUCUAAUUAUUAUAUCUAUGAACUAGUUGGGUCUAACUGUUUGAAUAAUUAAAUUUGAAUUGUGCAAUCUUGAUGAAGCAGGGAGUCUAUGAAUGUGGCGUAUAUAGCAUUUUCCUUCCUGGAAGCAAGAUUCCAGAUGGAUUUGGCUUCACAACAAUAUAUGGAUCAGCGCUGUCGGCUAUUGCAUCUUCACAUCCUAAUCUCAAAAUCCAAGCCUUGAAUGUAUGUGUUUUAUAUGCAAUAGAACCGGGCUUGGCAAUUGAUGACUAUCUUGUUAGUGCUCAGCAUUUAAUUAAAGUCAGUAAUCAGACCAAGGGUCUUAUGUGGACCUAUUCCUCAGUCACAGUAGGUUUUCCAACUGAGAAGGAAGAUAUGUUAUGGCUAAGCCAUUUUCAAAUUGGGAACAAUGAAUUGGAGUAUGGGGACCAAAUACGUGUUUCGGUGGAGAUGCAUGAUUUUUGGAUAAAGGAGUUCGGAAUCCAGCUUGUGUACGAGCAGGAAAAAGACCUCCUUCUAGCCAGAAUAAUGUUGUUGCUGGAGAUGUGUCAAUGUCAGCAUCAGAGUACCAAACGUGGACAGGAUCAUACUUUCUCAGUAAUCAUAGGCGCCGUACUCAUCAAACUCAAUUCCGAAAGAGACAGAAGAAUCCAGCACAUAUUGAAUUUUCGUUUGAGCCAAAGCAUUAGCUUCAUACUUAUUCAAGGCCCAAAGACAACAACAACAACAACAACAACAACAACAAAGCCUUUUCCCACCAAGUGGGGUCGGCUAUAUGAAUCCUAGAACGCCAUUGCGCUCGGUUUUGUGUCAUGUCCUCCGUUAGAUCCAAGUACUAAAAGUCUUUUCUUAGAGUCUCUUCCAAAGUUUUCCUAGGUCUUCCUCUACCCCUUCGGCCCUGAACCUCUGUCCCGUAGUCACAUCUUCGAACCGGAGCGUCAGUCGGCCUUCUUUGCACAUGUCCAAAUCACCGGAGCCGAUUUUCUCUCAUCUUUCCUACAAUUUCGGCUACUCCUACUUUACCUCGGAUAUCCUCAUUCCCAAUCUUAUCAUUUCUCGUGUGCCCACAAAUCCCACGAAGCAUCCUCAUCUCCGCUACACCCAUUUUGUGUACGUGUUGAUGCUUCACCACCCAACAUUCUGUGCCAUACAACAUCGCUGGCCUUAUUGUCGUCCUAUAAAAUUUUCCCUUGAGCUUCAAUGGCCUACGACGGUCACACAACACGCCGGAUGCACUCUUUCCAUCCAGCUCGUAUUCUAUGGUUGAGAUCUCCAUCUAAUUCUCCGUUCUCUUGCAAGAUAAAUCCUAGGUAGCGAAAACGAUCGCUUUUUGUGAUCUUCGCUAGAUUGCUCCGGUCAUUAGUGUGGAUAAGUAUAUAAAUGGAUAGAGAUAGGAAAGCAAAUACAAGAUGUACGUGGUUCACCCAGAUUGGCUACGUCCACGGAAUAGAAGAGUUCUCAUUAAUUGUGAAAGGUUUACACAAGUACAUAGGUUCAAGCUCUCCUUUAGUGAGUACAAGUGAAUGAUUUAGUACAAAUGACAUUAGGAAAUAUUGUGGGAGAAAGAUCUCGUAAUCACGAAACUUCUAAGUAUCGGAGUGUGGUGUCGUCUUGACUUGCCUUAUCUGUCUCAUAGGUAGAUGUGGCAUCUUCUCUGGAAGUACUCUUCCUCCAUCCAGGGGUGGUAUCUUUAACUGGUGGAGAUGCACAAGGUAAUGUAUCAAUUUCACUUGAAGCUUACUUGUAGUUUCAGGCUUGGUCAAGCGCGAUACAAACCAUGUAGUAGGAGUCCCCCAAGUCGCCGAGCUGGUGGAGAUGCCCUAUCUGUUCCUCAAGCAGAUGCGGAAUCUUCCCUGGAAACAUAAGAUGUUGAAGAUGAGUACUCGAGAGCAAUGCCAGGUAAGUAAUCAGGUAAGGGGUUCCAGGCAGUCAGUUCCUGGCUGGAAGCUUGAUUCCAAGUGCUGACUGAUUGCUCUCUUUCUCCUUGUCUUGCAGGUAAAAACAAGGCCAAAAGAAAAAACAGGGAAAAAGCAUGAUAUGGGAUACUCUUGCUUUUAACCCUGAUGAUAUGAGAUAUUCUUGCUCUAGUAUAGCUUGUUUGCAGAGGUAUUAUCGGGGGGAAAGAAAGCUGAAUAUUUCGAAAGGCUUCGUUGGGAGUGCCCUCUCAGAUAUGAUGAAGGGUUGAGCAUUUUUGCAGGUCUGCCUGUCCGUUGGGGAUGGAGGUCGACAUAUAUAGGAGUCUCCCUAACAACAAGUAGUAAUGCUAUUCCUUUACCCUGCUUGGUCAUAGCACGGUAGUGGGAGCUGCUAGUUUCACAUGUUUUAACUCUGUCAGAGCACUUUGAAAAAGUGGUCUGUGGUAUCUGGCUCUCGAGAUUCGGAGAACGAUGCCUCUUCGAGUUUUGAGAAAGCAAUCAUGAUGGGGGUCUGACUCUCGAGAUUCGGAGAGCAGUGUCUCUUAGAUUUUUGAGGAAGUAAUCAUGUUGGGAGUCUGGCUCUCGAGAUUCGGAGGGCGGUGCCUCUUCGAUUUUGGAGCAAGCAAUCUUGUUGGGAGUGUUGUCUCGAAUGUGAGUAAAGGUUGGACAUGUUUGCUAGUCUACCUUGCCACGAAGCACAAAGGUUGACACACAGGGACUUUCCAAUUAUCCAGCAAUGGUACUGUUCCUUUACCCUAUCUUCGAUUUUGAGAAAGUAGUUAUGUUGGGAGUCUGGCUCUCGAGAUUCGGAGGACGGUGCCUCUUCGAUUUUGGAGCAAGCAAUCUUGUUGGGAGUGUUUUCUCGAAUGUGAGUAAAGGUUGGGCAUGUUUGCUAGUCUACCUUGCCACGAAGCACAGAGGUUGACACACAGGGACUUUCCAAUUAUCCAGCAGUGGUACUGUUCCUUUACCCUUGUGGGUAAUAAUAUGGUAGCUAGACCUUCAAAAUUUAUGUGUCUAAACUUUGUUAGUGCUGUUUCUUUGCUAUUCUUUUACCUUUCUUGGUCAGAGCGAUGUAGUGGGAGCUGCAAGCUUCACGUGCUCAACUUUGGCAGAGAACUUUGGCAAAGUUAUCUGUGGUACCCAUGAGUUAUUGUUGUGUGUGGGAAGUGGGUGAUUGAACAGUAAGAUUCAUGUGCUUUCUACUUCACCAGAAGUCUUCGACAGAAUGCCCAUAAUUUCUGCAAAGCUGAGUGUGCGUGUGACAGGUGCUGACAAGGCUAGAAAAGUAGGUGCCUCUUCGAUUUCUGAGAUCGGCCCUCGUGGUCUCUGAGCAGCCCAGCUUUUGAGAAAGCGAACGCCUCUUCGAUUGAUUCGGAGAACGAUGCCUCAUCGAUUUUUGAGAAAGCAAUCAUGCUGGGGGUCUGGCUCUCGAGAUUCGGGGAGCAGUCUCUUCGAUUUUUGAGAAAGUAAUCAUGUUGGGAGAGUGGCUCUCGAGAUUCGGAAGGCGGUGCCUCUUCGAUUUUGGAGCAAGCAAUCUUGUUGGGGGUGUUUUCUCGAAUGUGAGUAAAGGUUGGGCAUGUUUGCUAGUCUACCUUGCCACGAAGCACAGAGGUUGACACACAGGGACUUUCCAAUUAUCCAGCAAUGGUACUGUUCCUUUACCCUCUCUUCGAUUUUUAAGAAAGUAAUCAUGUUGGGAGUCUGGCUCUUUAGAUUCGGAGGACGGUGCCUCUUCGAUUUUGGAGCAAGCAAUCUUAUUGGGAGUGUUUUCUCGAAUGUGAGUAAAGGUUGGGCAUGUUUGCUAGUCUACCUUGCCACGAAGCACAGAGGUUGACACACAGGGACUUUCCAAUUAUCCAGCAGUGGUACUGUUCCUUUACCCUUGUGGGUAAUAAUAUGGUAGCUAGACCUUCAAAAAAUUUAUGGGUCUAAACUUUGUUAGUGUUGUUUCUUUGCUAUUCUUUUACCUUUGUUGGUCAAAGCGAUGUAGUGGGAGCUGCAAGCUUCACGUGCUCAACUUUGGCAGAGAACUUUGGCAAAGUUAUAUGUGGUACCCAUGAGCUAUUGUUGCGUGUGGGAAGUGGGUGAUUGAACAGUAAGAUUCAUGUGUUUUCUACUUCCCCAGAAGUCUUUGACAGAAUGCCCAUAAUUUCCGCAAAGCUGAGUGUGCGUGUGACAGGUGCUGACAAGGCUGGAAAAGUAGAUGCCUCUUCGAUUUCUGAGAUCGGCCCUCGUGGUCUCUGGGGAGCCCAGCUUUUGAGAAAGCGAGCGCCUCUUCGAUUUCUGAGAUCGGCCUUCGUGGUCUUUAAGCAGCCCAACUUUUGAGAAAUCAAACGCCUCUUCGAUUUCUGAGAUCAACCCUCGUGAUCUCUAAGCAGCCCAACUUUUGAGAAAGCAAACGCCUCUUCGAUUUCUGAAGCUCCGUCGAGUGCAGAUUUUUAUAGGGGCUGGCAUUAAGUUCCAAAGCACACUUGAAUCUCCACCAGUAGAAGCUUCAUUCUUGCACUUCUAAGAUCUUGAUUUGUCCGACCUCUUCUCUCUUCAACACCUUUGAAAAUGUCUGGCCCCUCCGACCGUCGUUUUGACUUAAACCUUGUUGAAGAGGCAGCCCCGCCUUCUCCAGACAACAUAUGGCGCCCAUCCUUCGUCUCCCCAACUGGUCCUCUUACCGUUGGGGAUUCCGUGAUGAAGAAUGAUAUGACCGCUGCGGUGGUGGCCAGGAACCUUCUCACUCCCAAAGAUAACAGACUACUUUCCAAACGGUCUGAUGAGUUAGCUGUUAAGGAUUCGUUGGCUCUCAGUGUUCAGUGUGCAGGUUCUGUGUCUAAUAUGGCCCAACGCCUAUUUGCUCGAACCCGCCAAGUUGAAUCAUUGGCGGCUGAAGUGAUGAGUCUCAAACAGGAGAUUAGAGGGCUCAAGCAUGAGAAUAAACAGUUGCACCGGCUCGCACAUGACUAUGCUACAAACAUGAAGAGGAAGCUUGAUCAGAUGAAGGAAACUGAUGGUCAGGUUUUACUUGAUCAUCAGAGAUUUGUGGGUUUGUUCCAAAGGCAUUUAUUGCCUUCGUCUUCUGGGGCUGUACCACGUAAUGAAGCUCCAAAUGAUCAACCUCUGAUGCCUCCUCCUUCUAGGGUUCUGUCCAGUACUGAGGCUCCAAAUGAUCCCCCUCUGAUGCCUUCUCUUUCUGGGGCUCUCUACCGACUGCUGAGACUUCUCCUAAGCAACCUUUGUGAAGGCUCCCUCUUGUGUGUUUAUUUUGACUCAUGUAUAUGUACAUAUUUGUAGCUUAUCGGGGAUAUCAAUAAAUAAGCUUUCCUUCAUUUCAACGUAUUGUGUUAAAUACACCAAAUCCUUCUUCGCUAAGUUCUUUGAAUUUUCUUUUGUUGAAGCUUGUAUGUUGAAGCUUGUAUGAUUCAAGGCCCAAAGACCAUUGAAAAUAUUUUGAAACUUAGAGCAUGUCCAGCAGAUUCCCCAUCUACAUCUACUCACCUAUUUUGGAGAAAAUGAAGAGAAACCUCCUUAGUACUUUUUCCAACAUCAUUCGUUCAUGGUUGGAAGGAAAGAUCAGCAUCAAUUAUCCUGGUGAGUGUCGUCUUUUUGUUCUUUCUUGUUGAAUUUUUGAUGUGUAUUUCAUAUCAAAACAAUUACAAGAUGAAACAUUAUAUAGGAAAAGAAAGAGAACAUAAGCCUAACUUGCCUAACUUGCCUAACUUGCCUAAUUUCCUAACUUGCCUAACUUGCCUAAUUUACACAAAGAAGGUUGACUAGCCUAACUUCACUAGUCAUCCAACAUGUUUAUUUCAUGCAUGCAUUUUAACAAAAGAUAUGACUUGCAUGAAUUCCAACAUUUCUUGUUAUAUCUUUCUCAAUAUAAACUCAUGGGUUUGUUGGAUUUGUUGCUCUUUGUUUAUUGCUUUGAUUUGUUAAUUGAAUGAAUAUAUUAAACAAAAGGAGGGGAAAGCUCUACGAACUCGUGUAGUUGAUGCAUGUAGUACUCAGUACUACUCUUUCAGACAAUAAUCCUAACUUUUAAUCCCACUUAACGUAAUACAAUUUGGUGUCUGUAGUAUGUUUGGUGGUCUAGAUCACUCAUUUGAGAUAUACAUGUGAACCAGAAAGCUGUUUAACUUGGAAAAAGGCGAAAUUUAGCAUGCCCAUGAACUUUUAAAAUGUUGGGAGCAGCUCAGGUUUGAGUCCCAGCAAAGGAAUGCUUUUCUUAAUUUUUGCACGACUUACAGCUGGUGCGAGGGACCUCUGCGCGUUAACUAUGUGUCAGUCUGGGUCCAUUUAUUCCCUAGCCAUCAGUGUGCUGUCUAACUUUGUCUUUUAUAUUCACAAAAAAGCAUUGGCAGUCUUGACAGUGUCGAAACUGUUUACCGUGUUCAAACCGUGUGCAGGGCGUGUCAGCAUGUCAGAGUGUCUGACACUUUGAGGUUUGGGAGUGUCCGUGCAACCUAGGCUUCAAGGACGAGAUGGACAAGGUGGAGAAGUGGAGAAGAGCGCUUACUGAUGUUGCAAAUCUGGGAGGGAUGGUUCUAGAAGAUCGGUAAUUUCGUAAAACAUUUUCUUUAAUUUGAAAGUAUUAUCUAUAUAUGACCUUUUAGAGGUCGCACUUGGUGCGAUGGCAAGUGCCUUCGCCUAUGAGCGGUAGGUCUCAGGUUUGAGACUUGGGAGCAGCCUCUCCAUAAAUGGGGUAAGGCUAGCCGACAUUCACCUCUCCCAGACCCUGCGUAAAGCGGGAGCCUUGUGCACUGGGUACGACCUUUUUUUAUCUAUAUAUGACCUUUUAUAACUUGUUUAUUAGGCACAUUAUUGUUAGCUUAUUGGAGACUAAGGCCACCCCUCUUUCUUUUAGGGUAGAUAAUAUCGUUUGUUGACAAAAAAAAAAAAAAAAAAACUUGUUUAUUAGGUUGAUGAUAGUAAAGCCAUAUGGAGUUGACGGAUUUUGGGUUUAUAACUUUAUACUAUCUUUCAUGUACCUGUGCAGCAAUAUUUUUUAGAAGAUUCAAAUUUUCAAGUCAAUUUUUCAAUGUCUUAUAUAUAAUCUACCUGCAUUACUCAUGUCAAUCAUCAAUUACUCUUUUCUUUAGAUAAAAAUUACAUAGUCUUCAUAUGAUUUGAUGUCUAAUGACCAUAUGUUGUAGGGUAUGAGUGGCAGUUUAUCCAAGAUAUUGUUCAAGAGGUUGGAAGUAAGCUGGAUCGCGUGGCAGUAAAUGUUGCUCCCUAUGCUGUUGGAAUCGAUAAUUGUGUGCACGGAAUCAACAGAUGGUUAAAAGAUGAUUCGGGUGAUGCUGGUGCAGCGGUUAUCUAUGGGAUGGGUGGAAUUGGCAAAACCACCAUUGCCAAAGCUGCUAAUAAGACGAACCUUGCAAAAUUUUAAGGAAACGACAGCUUUCUUGCAGAUAUUGGCUUGCAAAUAAAUCUUCUUUCCGAUAUCCAAAGGGUGAAAGUAAAGAAAAUAAGCAAACAUGAAGGACUGAUCAAGAUUAAGCAUGCUGUAGGUUGCAAUAGAGUUCUUAUAGUUCUUGAUGAUGUGAACCAUUUGGACCAAUUCAAUGCAAUUCUUGGAAUGCGAUAGUGUUUUCACCCGGGAAGUAAAGUUACCGUAACAACUAGACAUAAAAGGCUCAUGAUAUUUAUCCAGUAUUUGAGAUUAAAGAACUGAGUGAAUAUGAAACACUGAAGCUUUUCAAGCGACAUGCCUUCGGGCAAGCCAAUCCCAUUGAAAGUUACUUGGAGUCAUGAACCUCGACCAAAUUGAAGCAAUCUUUGAGAAUCAAUUGCUAAUGGUUUGGGACUUCUGACAAGUUGGGGGUUGUCAUAAGGCCAUGUGAGUGACUGAGAUUAACGGUUCAGUCUUGGAAGGGAACCAGGGUAUGUUCUAAUCUCUCUCUCUCUCUCUCAAAAUACACACAAUCAAAAAUAAAUUUCAGUGAAAUUAAACUGUGUAUUCAUAGCAACUAAUGACUUCUCUUUGACACAGUUUCUUAGAAGAUUGAAAAUUCUAAAUCUUAGUCAUUCGCAUGGCCUUAGGACAACAUCUGACUUGUCCGGACUCCCUAAAGGAUUGCAUUAAUUUGAUUGAUGUUGAUGAAUCCAUUGGAAACUUGGGGAAACUUAUUUUCUUGAAUCUAAAAGACUGCAAAAGUCUUAUGAAGCUUCCAAAAAGAAUGAACAUGUUGAGGUCUCUUGAGGAAUUUAUUCUUACUGGUUGCUCAAAGCUUGUUCUUCAUGACAGUGCCACGGUUAUUCAUUUACACUCUACAUCUAGGGAUAUGAAUAAACUUAGACUGUUAUCAAUUAUAUCAUCGACACGAGAAAUUUUUCCAAAUGACCGGUACAACUGUUGAGUUGGAGUUCCCCUCCAAUUACAUGAUGCCACAUAUCCUACUACAGCUGCAUAGAUUAGUUUUGUUUAAUAAAAAAAAAAAAGAAAAAGAAAAAACUUGUAGAAGGUGUAAAGUCACCCUCCCAGCGGCCGAUCCCACCAAGGCGACUCACUUCCGAUUGACGACGACGAAGAAGAUUUCAGCUUCCUCGAGGACCCCACCGACCACAGCGCCGCCGCCCCGCACCAUUCAGAUUCGGACAAUUACGACGAUUUCGAGAACUUCUCCGAUGUCGACGAGGACGCUUUCAGGAGAUGAUGGCAGGCUUGGUAGCCCCAAGACUCCUAACUGGGUUUAUGGCAUUUUCAGUGAUGGGGAUGGGGUGGUGGCCAUUUUCGGUGAUGGGUUGAUGCAAUUUUGGGUUUUUGAUCAAAACCCAUCAAAAUUCACCACCACUUAGUCAAAAAUCCAAAUCAAACCCCAACAAAAACAAUCAAAUUCACAAGUUUUAUCUGAGAAAGAAAAAAAAACAUGAACAGAUUAUGGAAAAGGGUGGAAUGGAUGCGGGUGGGGCGUAAUAGAAUGGAAAAGAGAGGAAUCUGUGUUCUUCAUUUAAUUAAUUUAAAUUCUAUUCUUAAAAUAAAUAUUAUUUGUCAUUAUAAGAUGAUGUCAACCUAGAUGUCAGAUGUUAAUAGGUGGAACACCAGGUCAGCAAAUGUACCCGUCACGUGGAAAAUUUUCUCCAUGGACACCAAUCAGGUGUUGGUGGAUGUGGGCAUGGCCAGGAAAGACUCAUCAAUCAACGAGUUUCUCUCUGGCAAGUGUACGCCCUUUUUUGGGAAGCUUAAGUUUGUCUUACUGCAACAUGUCAGGUUCCCAAUAAUCUGUGUACACUAUCUUCGUUGAAGCAUUUGAAUCUAAUUGGUAAUCCAAUUUUGUGCCUACCACAAAAAAUGAAGAGUCUUAUUAUGCUUGAGACUCUUUUGUUAGAUAAUUGCACGAACCUCGAAAUUCUUCCAGAGCUCCCACCAAGGUUGAAGAGGUUAGAAGCAAAAUAUUGUACUUCAUUGAAAAGAUUAAGAAAUUUACCAAACUUAUUCAGAUCAUUGGAAUCACUUUUUUGGGGUUAUGAGCAUUUAGUUGAAGUUGAAAGCUUGUUGAAUAUAAAACCGUUGAGAAAUGCUGACAUAGAAAUGACAAGAUAUAUGGGCCUGUGCAGUUUGAAAUCCAUAUCAAGCACUGGUGUCGAAAGAUCUCCAUCUAGCCAAAAUAAUGUUGUUGCUGGAGAUGUGUCAAUGUCAGCAUAAGAGUACCAAAUGUGGACAGGAAAAUACUUUCUCAGUAAUCAUAGGCACCGUACUCAUCAGGCUCAAUGGUUCACAACUUAUUCAAGGCCCAAGGACCAUUGGAAAAUAUUGCGAGAGAGGAUGUCCAGCAGAUUCCCCAUCUGCUUCUCGUAAUCUGUUUUGGCGAAAAUGAAGAGAAACAUCCUCAGUUCUUUGUCCAACAUCAGUCAUUUCAUUUAUGGUUGGAAAGAAAGACCAGCAUCAUUUUCCUUGGUGAGUAUCGUCGUUUUGUUCUUUCUUGUUCUCGUUCUGAGUAUAUACUCAUGGCUUUGUUGGAUUUGUUGCGCUUUUUGCUUAUUGUCAUAAAGAGCAAUCAAGGAAAAAAAAACCGGAACAGUCUGCAUGAGUUUGUUGGAAAUUAUAUAUUAUAGUAUAAAAUAUUGUAAUAUAUAAUUUUAAUAAUUGAAUGAAAAAAAUAGUGUUAACCAUAUUUCUUAGAAAUGUUAUGUUAUUUAGGUGCAUUCCCUUGUUAAAUAAUGUAUACUUAUAGAUGAAAAGUUACAUCUCCUAACAAGAAGUACUUGGGUUCUAUUUAAACUCAUGAAACCAUUAUCAUUAAAUAUAGAAAAUUAGAGUUAAUUUUUACUCUUGAGAAAUAAGGUUUUCUCACUUUGUUUCUCUCAUGGUUCGUGUGUCAAAUUCCAAGUCAUGUCUUGAAAGUACGGAAUAUAUAAAGUUCGUCAGAGUUUGAAGAUUGAAGUGCUUUGACUUCGGAUUAUGGAUUUUUGAAUCUUGAGAGAUGGACACCUACUGAACUACAAGCACACGAGUAUGGGCGAAAUUCUAUCUUUAGGACAUUACAUUUAUGCAAGCCUCAAUCUCCAAGUUUGUCAGUUUUUCUAACUUUAUCUCUAGUUGUUUAUAUUAAUCUCCAAUUGGACCUGUUUCAAAAAAUAGGUUAAAAAAAUUAGACCUAUUUCAAAUUAUCCCUUAUUAUUAUUACAUUUCUUAUGUUAUUUUCAUAUUUUCUAAUCUUCAACAGAGUUUGCAUAUGAAGUUUUCAACCCCCUAUAGAGCAAAACCAACUUGAGCGUAACAGCAGUGGGGCAACAUAUGUUUCUGAAAAUCCUACAGUUAGUUUCCCUCCAAAACUCCUUACAAACGAAUCUUGAGCACCUGCAUUGCCUAAUAAUUGUUUUAACUACCAUGUUAACAGAAGUAAUAACUGUAAACGGACUAUAACAGUUGAGAAAUAUUUAAGUACCAAAAAGAGUCAGCUAUAUCAGAAUAAUUAUACUAGAGUUGAGUCGUUUAACUUCUCAUCUGUUAUGGCUUAGUCCUUUUAUGGCGGACAUUAACUCCGUUUUUCUAUAUUUUCAGAGAAAGUUCGUAAAAUUUAAAUCCUAUUGUUCUUUUUUGGCCUUUUUCUAAUAUUUUUCUGCCUUUUUCUACUGUAGUACUACUCCAGACAAUAAUCCUAGUGGCCCAAAAUUAUAUCCUAACUUUAAAUCCCAAUUAAGGUGAUAUAAUUGGUUUUUUAUGUUUAUGCUCNNNNNNNNNNNNNNNNNNNNNNNNNNNNNNNNNNNNNNNNNNNNNNNNNNNNNNNNNNNNNNNNNNNNNNNNNNNNNNNNNNNNNNNNNNNNNNNNNNNNNNNNNNNNNNNNNNNNNNNNNNNNNNNNNNNNNNNNNNNNNNNNNNNNNNNNNNNNNNNNNNNNNNNNNNNNNNNNNNNNNNNNNNNNNNNNNNNNNNNNNNNNNNNNNNNNNNNNNNNNNNNNNNNNNNNNNNNNNNNNNNNNNNNNNNNNNNNNNNNNNNNNNNNNNNNNNNNNNNNNNNNNNNNNNNNNNNNNNNNNNNNNNNNNNNNNNNNNNNNNNNNNNNNNNNNNNNNNNNNNNNNNNNNNNNNNNNNNNNNNNNNNNNNNNNNNNNNNNNNNNNNNNNNNNNNNNNNNNNNNNNNNNNNNNNNNNNNNNNNNNNNNNNNNNNNNNNNNNNNNNNNNNNNNNNNNNNNNNNNNNNNNNNNNNNNNNNNNNNNNNNNNNNNNNNNNNNNNNNNNAGUCUAUGAAUGUGGCGUAUAUAGCAUUUUCCUUCCUGGAAGCAAGAUUCCAGAUGGAUUUGGCUUCACAACAAUAUAUGGAUCAGCGCUGUCGGCUAUUGCAUCUUCACAUCCUAAUCUCAAAAUCCAAGCCUUGAAUGUAUGUGUUUUAUAUGCAAUAGAACCGGGCUUGGCAAUUGAUGACUAUCUUGUUAGUGCUCAGCAUUUAAUUAAAGUCAGUAAUCAGACCAAGGGUCUUAUGUGGACCUAUUCCUCAGUCACAGUAGGUUUUCCAACUGAGAAGGAAGAUAUGUUAUGGCUAAGCCAUUUUCAAAUUGGGAACAAUGAAUUGGAGUAUGGGGACCAAAUACGUGUUUCGGUGGAGAUGCAUGAUUUUUGGAUAAAGGAGUUCGGAAUCCAGCUUGUGUACGAGCAGGAAAGACCUCCUUCUAGCCAGAAUAAUGUUGUUGCUGGAGAUGUGUCAAUGUCAGCAUCAGAGUACCAAACGUGGACAGGAUCAUACUUUCUCAGUAAUCAUAGGCGCCGUACUCAUCAAACUCAAUUCCGAAAGAGACAGAAGAAUCCAGCACAUAUUGAAUUUUCGUUUGAGCCAAAGCAUUAGCUUCAUACUUAUUCAAGGCCCAAAGACAACAACAACAACAACAACAACAACAACAAAGCCUUUUCCCACCAAGUGGGGUCGGCUAUAUGAAUCCUAGAACGCCAUUGCGCUCGGUUUUGUGUCAUGUCCUCCGUUAGAUCCAAGUACUAAAAAGUCUUUUCUUAGAGUCUCUUUCCAAAGUUUUCCUAGGUCUUCCUCUACCCCUUCGGCCCUGAACCUCUGUCCCGUAGUCACAUCUUCGAACCGGAGCGUCAGUCGGCCUUCUUUGCACAUGUCCAAAUCACCGGAGCCGAUUUUCUCUCAUCUUUCCUACAAUUUCGGCUACUCCUACUUUACCUCGGAUAUCCUCAUUCCCAAUCUUAUCAUUUCUCGUGUGCCCACAAAUCCCACGAAGCAUCCUCAUCUCCGCUACACCCAUUUUGUGUACGUGUUGAUGCUUCACCACCCAACAUUCUGUGCCAUACAACAUCGCUGGCCUUAUUGUCGUCCUAUAAAAUUUUCCCUUGAGCUUCAAUGGCCUACGACGGUCACACAACACGCCGGAUGCACUCUUUCCAUCCAGCUCGUAUUCUAUGGUUGAGAUCUCCAUCUAAUUCUCCGUUCUCUCUUGCAAGAUAAAUCCUAGGUAGCGAAAACGAUCGCUUUUUGUGAUCUUCGCUAGAUUGCUCCGGUCAUUAGUGUGGAUAAGUAUAUAAAUGGAUAGAGAUAGGAAAGCAAAUACAAGAUGUACGUGGUUCACCCAGAUUGGCUACGUCCACGGAAUAGAAGAGUUCUCAUUAAUUGUGAAAGGUUUACACAAGUACAUAGGUUCAAGCUCUCCUUUAGUGAGUACAAGUGAAUGAUUUAGUACAAAUGACAUUAGGAAAUAUUGUGGGAGAAAGAUCUCGUAAUCACGAAACUUCUAAGUAUCGGAGUGUGGUGUGUCGUCUUGACUUGCCUUAUCUGUCUCAUAGGUAGAUGUGGCAUCUUCUCUCUGGAAGUACUCUUCCUCCAUCCAGGGGUGGUAUCUUUAACUGGUGGAGAUGCACAAGGUAAUGUAUCAAUUUCACUUGAAGCUUACUUGUAGUUUCAGGCUUGGUCAAGCGCGAUACAAACCAUGUAGUAGGAGUCCCCCAAGUCGCCGAGCUGGUGGAGAUGCCCUAUCUGUUCCUCAAGCAGAUGCGGAAUCUUCCCUGGAAACAUAAGAUGUUGAAGAUGAGUACUCGAGAGCAAUGCCAGGUAAGUAAUCAGGUAAGGGGUUCCAGGCAGUCAGUUCCUGGCUGGAAGCUUGAUUCCAAGUGCUGACUGAUUGCUCUCUUUCUCCUUGUCUUGCAGGUAAAAACAAGGCCAAAAGAAAAAACAGGGAAAAAGCAUGAUAUGGGAUACUCUUGCUUUUAACCCUGAUGAUAUGAGAUAUUCUUGCUCUAGUAUAGCUUGUUUGCAGAGGUAUUAUCGGGGGGAAAGAAAGCUGAAUAUUUCGAAAGGCUUCGUUGGGAGUGCCCUCUCAGAUAUGAUGAAGGGUUGAGCAUUUUUGCAGGUCUGCCUGUCCGUUGGGGAUGGAGGUCGACAUAUAUAGGAGUCUCCCUAACAACAAGUAGUAAUGCUAUUCCUUUACCCUGCUUGGUCAUAGCACGGUAGUGGGAGCUGCUAGUUUCACAUGUUUUAACUCUGUCAGAGCACUUUGAAAAAGUGGUCUGUGGUAUCUGGCUCUCGAGAUUCGGAGAACGAUGCCUCUUCGAGUUUUGAGAAAGCAAUCAUGAUGGGGGUCUGACUCUCGAGAUUCGGAGAGCAGUGUCUCUUAGAUUUUUGAGGAAGUAAUCAUGUUGGGAGUCUGGCUCUCGAGAUUCGGAGGGGCGGUGCCUCUUCGAUUUUGGAGCAAGCAAUCUUGUUGGGAGUGUUGUCUCGAAUGUGAGUAAAGGUUGGACAUGUUUGCUAGUCUACCUUGCCACGAAGCACAAAGGUUGACACACACAGGGACUUUCCAAUUAUCCAGCAAUGGUACUGUUCCUUUACCCUAUCUUCGAUUUUGAGAAAGUAGUUAUGUUGGGAGUCUGGCUCUCGAGAUUCGGAGGACGGUGCCUCUUCGAUUUUGGAGCAAGCAAUCUUGUUGGGAGUGUUUUCUCGAAUGUGAGUAAAGGUUGGGCAUGUUUGCUAGUCUACCUUGCCACGAAGCACACAGAGGUUGACACACAGGGACUUUCCAAUUAUCCAGCAGUGGUACUGUUCCUUUACCCUUGUGGGUAAUAAUAUGGUAGCUAGACCUUCAAAAUUUAUGUGUCUAAACUUUGUUAGUGCUGUUUCUUUGCUAUUCUUUUACCUUUCUUGGUCAGAGCGAUGUAGUGGGAGCUGCAAGCUUCACGUGCUCAACUUUGGCAGAGAACUUUGGCAAAGUUAUCUGUGGUACCCAUGAGUUAUUGUUGUGUGUGGGAAGUGGGUGAUUGAACAGUAAGAUUCAUGUGCUUUCUACUUCACCAGAAGUCUUCGACAGAAUGCCCAUAAUUUCUGCAAAGCUGAGUGUGCGUGUGACAGGUGCUGACAAGGCUAGAAAAGUAGGUGCCUCUUCGAUUUCUGAGAUCGGCCCUCGUGGUCUCUGAGCAGCCCCAGCUUUUGAGAAAGCGAACGCCUCUUCGAUUGAUUCGGAGAACGAUGCCUCAUCGAUUUUUGAGAAAGCAAUCAUGCUGGGGGUCUGGCUCUCGAGAUUCGGGGAGCAGUCUCUUCGAUUUUUUGAGAAAGUAAUCAUGUUGGGAGAGUGGCUCUCGAGAUUCGGAAGGCGGUGCCUCUUCGAUUUUGGAGCAAGCAAUCUUGUUGGGGGUGUUUUCUCGAAUGUGAGUAAAGGUUGGGCAUGUUUGCUAGUCUACCUUGCCACGAAGCACAGAGGUUGACACACACAGGGACUUUCCAAUUAUCCAGCAAUGGUACUGUUCCUUUACCCUCUCUUUCGAUUUUUAAGAAAGUAAUCAUGUUGGGAGUCUGGCUCUUUAGAUUCGGAGGACGGUGCCUCUUCGAUUUUGGAGCAAGCAAUCUUAUUGGGAGUGUUUUCUCGAAUGUGAGUAAAGGUUGGGCAUGUUUGCUAGUCUACCUUGCCACGAAGCACAGAGGUUGACACACAGGGACUUUCCAAUUAUCCAGCAGUGGUACUGUUCCUUUACCCUUGUGGGUAAUAAUAUGGUAGCUAGACCUUCAAAAAUUUAUGGGUCUAAACUUUGUUAGUGUUGUUUCUUUGCUAUUCUUUUACCUUUGUUGGUCAAAGCGAUGUAGUGGGAGCUGCAAGCUUCACGUGCUCAACUUUGGCAGAGAACUUUGGCAAAGUUAUAUGUGGUACCCAUGAGCUAUUGUUGCGUGUGGGAAGUGGGUGAUUGAACAGUAAGAUUCAUGUGUUUUCUACUUCCCCAGAAGUCUUUGACAGAAUGCCCAUAAUUUCCGCAAAGCUGAGUGUGCGUGUGACAGGUGCUGACAAGGCUGGAAAAGUAGAUGCCUCUUCGAUUUCUGAGAUCGGCCCUCGUGGUCUCUGGGGAGCCCAGCUUUUGAGAAAGCGAGCGCCUCUUCGAUUUCUGAGAUCGGCCUUCGUGGUCUUUAAGCAGCCCAACUUUUGAGAAAUCAAACGCCUCUUCGAUUUCUGAGAUCAACCCUCGUGAUCUCUAAGCAGCCCAACUUUUGAGAAAGCAAACGCCUCUUCGAUUUCUGAAGCUCCGUCGAGUGCAGAUUUUUAUAGGGGCUGGCAUUAAGUUCCAAAGCACACUUGAAUCUCCACCAGUAGAAGCUUCAUUCUUGCACUUCUAAGAUCUUGAUUUGUCCGACCUCUUCUCUCUUCAACACCUUUGAAAAUGUCUGGCCCCUCCGACCGUCGUUUUGACUUAAACCUUGUUGAAGAGGCAGCCCCGCCUUCUCCAGACAACAUAUGGCGCCCAUCCUUCGUCUCCCCAACUGGUCCUCUUACCGUUGGGGAUUCCGUGAUGAAGAAUGAUAUGACCGCUGCGGUGGUGGCCAGGAACCUUCUCACUCCCAAAGAUAACAGACUACUUUCCAAACGGUCUGAUGAGUUAGCUGUUAAGGAUUCGUUGGCUCUCAGUGUUCAGUGUGCAGGUUCUGUGUCUAAUAUGGCCCAACGCCUAUUUGCUCGAACCCGCCAAGUUGAAUCAUUGGCGGCUGAAGUGAUGAGUCUCAAAACAGGAGAUUAGAGGGCUCAAGCAUGAGAAUAAACAGUUGCACCGGCUCGCACAUGACUAUGCUACAAACAUGAAGAGGAAGCUUGAUCAGAUGAAGGAAACUGAUGGUCAGGUUUUACUUGAUCAUCAGAGAUUUGUGGGUUUGUUCCAAAGGCAUUUAUUGCCUUCGUCUUCUGGGGCUGUACCACGUAAUGAAGCUCCAAAUGAUCAACCUCUGAUGCCUCCUCCUUCUAGGGUUCUGUCCAGUACUGAGGCUCCAAAUGAUCCCCCUCUGAUGCCUUCUCUUUCUGGGGCUCUACCGACUGCUGAGACUUCUCCUAAGCAACCUUUGUGAAGGCUCCCUCUUGUGUGUUUAUUUUGACUCAUGUAUAUGUACAUAUUUGUAGCUUAUCGGGGAUAUCAAUAAAUAAGCUUUCCUUCAUUUCAACGUAUUGUGUUAAAUACACCAAAUCCUUCUUCGCUAAGUUCUUUGAAUUUUCUUUUGUUGAAGCUUGUAUGUUGAAGCUUGUAUGAUUCAAGGCCCAAAGACCAUUGAAAAUAUUUUGAAACUUAGAGCAUGUCCAGCAGAUUCCCCAUCUACAUCUACUCACCUAUUUUGGAGAAAAUGAAGAGAAACCUCCUUAGUACUUUUUCCAACAUCAUUCGUUCAUGGUUGGAAGGAAAGAUCAGCAUCAAUUAUCCUGGUGAGUGUCGUCUUUUUGUUCUUUCUUGUUGAAUUUUUGAUGUGUAUUUCAUAUCAAAACAAUUACAAGAUGAAACAUUAUAUAGGAAAAGAAAGAGAACAUAAGCCUAAACUUGCCUAACUUGCCUAACUUGCCUAAUUUCCUAACUUGCCUAACUUGCCUAAUUUACACAAAGAAGGUUGACUAGCCUAACUUCACUAGUCAUCCAACAUGUUUAUUUCAUGCAUGCAUUUUAACAAAAGAUAUGACUUGCAUGAAUUCCAACAUUUCUUGUUAUAUCUUUCUCAAUAUAAACUCAUGGGUUUGUUGGAUUUGUUGCUCUUUGUUUAUUGCUUUGAUUUGUUAAUUGAAUGAAUAUAUUAAACAAAAGGAGGGGAAAGCUCUACGAACUCGUGUAGUUGAUGCAUGUAGUACUCAGUACUACUCUUUCAGACAAUAAUCCUAACUUUUAAUCCCACUUAACGUAAUACAAUUUGGUGUCUGUAGUAUGUUUGGUGGUCUAGAUCACUCAUUUGAGAUAUACAUGUGAACCAGAAAGCUGUUUAACUUGGAAAAAGGCGAAAUUUAGCAUGCCCAUGAACUUUUAAAAUGUUGGGAGCAGCUCAGGUUUGAGUCCCAGCAAAGGAAUGCUUUUCUUAAUUUUUGCACGACUUACAGCUGGUGCGAGGGACCUCUGCGCGUUAACUAUGUGUCAGUCUGGGUCCAUUUAUUCCCUAGCCAUCAGUGUGCUGUCUAACUUUGUCUUUUAUAUUCACAAAAAAGCAUUGGCAGUCUUGACAGUGUCGAAACUGUUUACCGUGUUCAAACCGUGUGCAGGGCGUGUCAGCAUGUCAGAGUGUCUGACACUUUGAGGUUUGGGAGUGUCCGUGCAACCUAGGCUUCAAGGACGAGAUGGACAAGGUGGAGAAGUGGAGAAGAGCGCUUACUGAUGUUGCAAAUCUGGGAGGGAUGGUUCUAGAAGAUCGGUAAUUUCGUAAAACAUUUUCUUUAAUUUGAAAGUAUUAUCUAUAUAUGACCUUUUAGAGGUCGCACUUGGUGCGAUGGCAAGUGCCUUCGCCUAUGAGCGGUAGGUCUCAGGUUUGAGACUUGGGAGAGCAGCCUCUCCAUAAAUGGGGUAAGGCUAGCCGACAUUCACCUCUCCCAGACCCUGCGUAAAGCGGGAGCCUUGUGCACUGGGUACGACCUUUUUUUAUCUAUAUAUGACCUUUUAUAACUUGUUUAUUAGGCACAUUAUUGUUAGCUUAUUGGAGACUAAGGCCACCCCUCUUUCUUUUAGGGUAGAUAAUAUCGUUUGUUGACAAAAAAAAAAAAAAAAAAACUUGUUUAUUAGGUUGAUGAUAGUAAAGCCAUAUGGAGUUGACGGAUUUUGGGUUUAUAACUUUAUACUAUCUUUCAUGUACCUGUGCAGCAAUAUUUUUUAGAAGAUUCAAAUUUUCAAGUCAAUUUUUCAAUGUCUUAUAUAUAAUCUACCUGCAUUACUCAUGUCAAUCAUCAAUUACUCUUUUCUUUAGAUAAAAAUUACAUAGUCUUCAUAUGAUUUGAUGUCUAAUGACCAUAUGUUGUAGGGUAUGAGUGGCAGUUUAUCCAAGAUAUUGUUCAAGAGGUUGGAAGUAAGCUGGAUCGCGUGGCAGUAAAUGUUGCUCCCUAUGCUGUUGGAAUCGAUAAUUGUGUGCACGGAAUCAACAGAUGGUUAAAAGAUGAUUCGGGUGAUGCUGGUGCAGCGGUUAUCUAUGGGAUGGGUGGAAUUGGCAAAACCACCAUUGCCAAAGCUGCUAAUAAGACGAACCUUGCAAAAUUUUAAGGAAACGACAGCUUUCUUGCAGAUAUUGGCUUGCAAAUAAAUCUUCUUUCCGAUAUCCAAAGGGUGAAAGUAAAGAAAAUAAGCAAACAUGAAGGACUGAUCAAGAUUAAGCAUGCUGUAGGUUGCAAUAGAGUUCUUAUAGUUCUUGAUGAUGUGAACCAUUUGGACCAAUUCAAUGCAAUUCUUGGAAUGCGAUAGUGUUUUCACCCGGGAAGUAAAAGUUACCGUAACAACUAGACAUAAAAGGCUCAUGAUAUUUAUCCAGUAUUUGAGAUUAAAGAACUGAGUGAAUAUGAAAACACUGAAGCUUUUCAAGCGACAUGCCUUCGGGCAAGCCAAUCCCAUUGAAAGUUACUUGGAGUCAUGAACCUCGACCAAAUUGAAGCAAUCUUUGAGAAUCAAUUGCUAAUGGUUUGGGACUUCUGACAAGUUGGGGGUUGUCAUAAGGCCAUGUGAGUGACUGAGAUUAACGGUUCAGUCUUGGAAGGGAACCAGGGUAUGUUCUAAUCUCUCUCUCUCUCUCUCUCAAAAUACACACAAUCAAAAAUAAAUUUCAGUGAAAUUAAACUGUGUAUUCAUAGCAACUAAUGACUUCUCUUUGACACAGUUUCUUAGAAGAUUGAAAAUUCUAAAUCUUAGUCAUUCGCAUGGCCUUAGGACAACAUCUGACUUGUCCGGACUCCCUAAAGGAUUGCAUUAAUUUGAUUGAUGUUGAUGAAUCCAUUGGAAACUUGGGGAAACUUAUUUUCUUGAAUCUAAAAGACUGCAAAAGUCUUAUGAAGCUUCCAAAAAGAAUGAACAUGUUGAGGUCUCUUGAGGAAUUUAUUCUUACUGGUUGCUCAAAGCUUGUUCUUCAUGACAGUGCCACGGUUAUUCAUUUACACUCUACAUCUAGGGAUAUGAAUAAACUUAGACUGUUAUCAAUUAUAUCAUCGACACGAGAAAUUUUUCCAAAUGACCGGUACAACUGUUGAGUUGGAGUUCCCCUCCAAUUACAUGAUGCCACAUAUCCUACUACAGCUGCAUAGAUUAGUUUUGUUUAAUAAAAAAAAAAAAGAAAAAGAAAAAACUUGUAGAAGGUGUAAAGUCACCCUCCCAGCGGCCGAUCCCCACCAAGGCGACUCACUUCCGAUUGACGACGACGAAGAAGAUUUCAGCUUCCUCGAGGACCCCACCGACCACAGCGCCGCCGCCCCGCACCAUUCAGAUUCGGACAAUUACGACGAUUUCGAGAACUUCUCCGAUGUCGACGAGGACGCUUUCAGGAGAUGAUGGCAGGCUUGGUAGCCCCAAGACUCCUAACUGGGUUUAUGGCAUUUUCAGUGAUGGGGAUGGGGUGGUGGCCAUUUUCGGUGAUGGGUUGAUGCAAUUUUGGGUUUUUGAUCAAAACCCAUCAAAAUUCACCACCACUUAGUCAAAAAUCCAAAUCAAACCCCAACAAAAACAAUCAAAUUCACAAGUUUUAUCUGAGAAAGAAAAAAAAACAUGAACAGAUUAUGGAAAAGGGUGGAAUGGAUGCGGGUGGGGCGUAAUAGAAUGGAAAAGAGAGGAAUCUGUGUUCUUCAUUUAAUUAAUUUAAAUUCUAUUCUUAAAAUAAAUAUUAUUUGUCAUUAUAAAAGAUGAUGUCAACCUAGAUGUCAGAUGUUAAUAGGUGGAACACCAGGUCAGCAAAUGUACCCGUCACGUGGAAAAUUUUCUCCAUGGACACCAAUCAGGUGUUUGGUGGAUGUGGGCAUGGCCAGGAAAGACUCAUCAAUCAACGAGUUUCUCUCUGGCAAGUGUACGCCCUUUUUUGGGGAAGCUUAAGUUUGUCUUACUGCAACAUGUCAGGUUCCCAAUAAUCUGUGUACACUAUCUUCGUUGAAGCAUUUGAAUCUAAUUGGUAAUCCAAUUUUGUGCCUACCACAAAAAAUGAAGAGUCUUAUUAUGCUUGAGACUCUUUUGUUAGAUAAUUGCACGAACCUCGAAAUUCUUCCAGAGCUCCCACCAAGGUUGAAGAGGUUAGAAGCAAAAUAUUGUACUUCAUUGAAAAGAUUAAGAAAUUUACCAAACUUAUUCAGAUCAUUGGAAUCACUUUUUUGGGGUUAUGAGCAUUUAGUUGAAGUUGAAAGCUUGUUGAAUAUAAAACCGUUGAGAAAUGCUGACAUAGAAAUGACAAGAUAUAUGGGCCUGUGCAGUUUGAAAUCCAUAUCAAGCACUGGUGUCGAAAGAUCUCCAUCUAGCCAAAAUAAUGUUGUUGCUGGAGAUGUGUCAAUGUCAGCAUAAGAGUACCAAAUGUGGACAGGAAAAUACUUUCUCAGUAAUCAUAGGCACCGUACUCAUCAGGCUCAAUGGUUCACAACUUAUUCAAGGCCCAAGGACCAUUGGAAAAUAUUGCGAGAGGAUGUCCAGCAGAUUCCCCAUCUGCUUCUCGUAAUCUGUUUUGGCGAAAAUGAAGAGAAACAUCCUCAGUUCUUUGUCCAACAUCAGUCAUUUCAUUUAUGGUUGGAAAGAAAGACCAGCAUCAUUUUCCUUGGUGAGUAUCGUCGUUUUGUUCUUUCUUGUUCUCGUUCUGAGUAUAUACUCAUGGCUUUGUUGGAUUUGUUGCGCUUUUUGCUUAUUGUCAUAAAGAGCAAUCAAGGAAAAAAAACCGGAACAGUCUGCAUGAGUUUGUUGGAAAUUAUAUAUUAUAGUAUAAAAUAUUGUAAUAUAUAAUUUUAAUAAUUGAAUGAAAAAAUAGUGUUAACCAUAUUUCUUAGAAAUGUUAUGUUAUUUAGGUGCAUUCCCUUGUUAAAUAAUGUAUACUUAUAGAUGAAAAGUUACAUCUCCUAACAAGAAGUACUUGGGUUCUAUUUAAACUCAUGAAACCAUUAUCAUUAAAUAUAGAAAAUUAGAGUUAAUUUUUACUCUUGAGAAAUAAGGUUUUCUCACUUUGUUUCUCUCAUGGUUCGUGUGUCAAAUUCCAAGUCAUGUCUUGAAAGUACGGAAUAUAUAAAGUUCGUCAGAGUUUGAAGAUUGAAGUGCUUUGACUUCGGAUUAUGGAUUUUUGAAUCUUGAGAGAUGGACACCUACUGAACUACAAGCACACGAGUAUGGGCGAAAUUCUAUCUUUAGGACAUUACAUUUAUGCAAGCCUCAAUCUCCAAGUUUGUCAGUUUUUCUAACUUUAUCUCUAGUUGUUUAUAUUAAUCUCCAAUUGGACCUGUUUCAAAAAUAGGUUAAAAAAUUAGACCUAUUUCAAAUUAUCCCUUAUUAUUAUUACAUUUCUUAUGUUAUUUUCAUAUUUUCUAAUCUUCAACAGAGUUUGCAUAUGAAGUUUUCAACCCCCUAUAGAGCAAAACCAACUUGAGCGUAACAGCAGUGGGGCAACAUAUGUUUCUGAAAAUCCUACAGUUAGUUUCCCUCCAAAACUCCUUACAAACGAAUCUUGAGCACCUGCAUUGCCUAAUAAUUGUUUUAACUACCAUGUUAACAGAAGUAAUAACUGUAAACGGACUAUAACAGUUGAGAAAUAUUUAAGUACCAAAAAGAGUCAGCUAUAUCAGAAUAAUUAUACUAGAGUUGAGUCGUUUAACUUCUCAUCUGUUAUGGCUUAGUCCUUUUAUGGCGGACAUUAACUCCGUUUUUCUAUAUUUUCAGAGAAAGUUCGUAAAAUUUAAAUCCUAUUGUUCUUUUUUGGCCUUUUUCUAAUAUUUUUCUGCCUUUUUCUACUGUAGUACUACUCCAGACAAUAAUCCUAGUGGCCCAAAAUUAUAUCCUAACUUUAAAUCCCAAUUAAGGUGAUAUAAUUGGUUUUUUAUGUUUAUGCUCGCUAGAAACCUCAUUGAUCACUCAUUGGUGCCUGUAGUAUUUGUGGUGUUCUAGAUCACUCAUUUGAGCAAUACAUGCGAACCAAAAUGUGGGUAGCAGCUCAGGUUCAUGCUUUCUUAAUUUUUGCACGACUAGCAGCUGGUGCAAGGGACCUCCUUGUGUUAACUACGUGCCAGUCUGGGUCCAUUUACUGCACGUUAACUUGGGAAUGACCUAACGAGGACCUGAGAUACUCAAGAACCCGUACCACACUUUUUCUUUUUCUCUCUUUUUCCUUUUUGUUUUAGGAUUGGUUUGGUAUUGCUGUGUUUUGAAAAAAAAUUAUUGUGAAAAUAAGCGGGUGUGCUGUAAGAAUAAGCGGCUGUGAAAUAAAUCAGCAGGGUGUUUGGUAAACUUUUUUGUAAAAAUACUUUUGGAAAAAAAAGCAGUCUAAUAGUGGGUCUUUUCAUUAAAGAAGCAUUGUAGCUCCGUGUGUUUUAAAAAAAAGCCAAUUUUCCAAAACUGCAAAUAGCAGCUUCAGCUUUUUCCUUUGAUUUCAGCUUAUUCUCACAGCAGCUUCCAAAAUAAGCUUUUUUUUUUCAGUUUACCAAACACCUAAAACCCUCACAGUUUUUUUUCAUGGGUGUUUUUUUUUUAAGCACCUCACUCCCAAACUAGGUCUUAGUCAUAUCUUUUUCUUUCCGUGCGGACCUCAUCGAAAUCAAACAAAAAAAGGAAAAAUUAAACUCAUCAUUAACUUCCGGAUGAAACUUUAAACCAAGUGGUGUGAGAUUUUUCCAUGAUUCAGGUGGGGGGAGGUGGGCUGGGGUCAGUUCUCAUUAUUUACUCACCCCUACACAUCUGUGCAUCCACCCCAAUUUAGAUGUUUUGGGACCUUGGACUAACAAUAUUUUUUAAGAGGUGUGAUAUCCACACACCUCAUUUUACUUCUCACGCAUCCUUGAUAAUUUCUGUCCGUUGAUCUUCUUCAAUUCAUCCGAUCUGACGGCCGAAAAUUAUAAAGGUGUGUGAGAAGUAAAAUGGGGUGUGUGAAUAUCAUACCUCUUUUUCAAAUACUAGAGAUGAGAUUGGAGAGAGAUGUGAGGAGGGAGGAGGAGCGAGAGAGAAUAGUACGGUUACAUUUUAGAAUUUUUAUGACAUAAAAUAUUAAUAAUGAUAAAAGUUAACUAGAGUUAUGUGAGAGGACAUAUAUCAAGCUAAAAGUGUGUGGAUAGCAUACAUCAGGAUAAGUUCAAUGCAUUUUUACUCACUGCUCUCAAGUGAUGGUGAUGCUCACAAUAUUUUUAUUACAGUUCGAUAAGUUUAAUUUUUAAAAUUUAUGUCUUCCACAGCAAAACAGAUUACAAAUAAUAAACAUACGAACAAACGGAUUACAAAUUAUUGAAUAUAUUUGACUAACAAAACAACAAAGAAACAGGAUUGUCGAGACGACUACACUCAACUACAUAGCAACUUAUUAUCCAUCUAAACAAACUACAUUUGUGGGGAGCAAAAUCUAAGAAAUCCUAAUUCAAAUGGGAUAGACCUAAAUCAUAAACUAAUAAGCAAAACCAAAUAAUGAAAUAACUAAUUUUUCAACACUCGUCAAAUUCAAGAGGGUACGUGACAUGAGUUUACCAACAAAUAAAUUUUAAUUUAGACAUAAUGAUGUUGAGAGUAUAAAAAGAAAGUAAAUAAGUACUCACCACAAAUAAGAUUUUCAUAUUUCAAUUCCAACAAUGAACAAACAAAAACAACACUUUCACUCGAAUAUUCACAGAUCCCAAACAAGCCAAUAACUCGCAUCGGCCUCAAGGACUUCAUAAAACAAACCGCCCAUUUCAUUUUUCCCUUUGCCCGUGUGGGCCAAAACCUCAACCAAUUUCCAAUUAUUUCUUUUCCGUGUGGACCUCAAACAUACCACCACUUUUUCUUCUUUUUCUUUUUCUAUCUUUUUUCCUUUUCUUUUUCCCCAUCUUUUACUCACCCUCGUUUACCAAAAAGAAAAAGCAAAGAGAAAACAAAAGAUUCGUCCUUCUUCUUCAGCUGCUCUGGUAGCAUCUCCCACCUCCUCUUCUUCAUCAACUAUUAAGACCGACUCCCAUUCAGAUCCUUGAAAAUUUGGGCAUGGAACUAUAGUUAUCUACUUAAGGUUGCGAGUGAGCAAAAUUUGAUUUGUGAAAUCGUCCAUUUCAAAGUGUCUUUUUGAAGAAACUAGUUGGGACUUUCAUCCAACAGCUUGCCGGCAGAAAGAAAAUUCGCAGCUUUCGGUAUCUUACAAUACACAACUCUGGUGUGUGCGAGGUACCUUCAAGCUCCCCUCUUGUGAAAACAUACAUCUGCUUUAGCUUUCAAUUGAAAUCUUCAUGGCCGAUGAGUCAAAUGCAUUGACUUUGGAUCCUCUUGCUUUCUUAUCUUUAUUUUUCUUUUUAAUAUUUUCCUAUUAAAACUAAGAUCUAAAGUCUUUAAAUUCAUGGAAAUUAUUUUGUAAGACUUCAAUAUUUUUUUUUUUUUUUCAGAAACGUGAACUAAAUCCAUUUCAUGAAGAAAGAUCUAGUCCUUUUCGUUUUUUUCUUCUUAAAAUAAAUAUGAGUCAUUAUUAUUAAUAAUUAAUUUUUUUUAAAUUGGUAGAAUAUAUUUUUGCAUAAAGUUUUAAUAAGAAUUUCUUUUAGGAUUACACAUAAUGUGUCGUUAGCUUUUUACAUACCAAAUUUAUGAUAAUAUUUAUGUACGGAUAGUUUUCUAUGUAUUUAAAUAAUAAUUACAUAACAUACCAAAACAAAUUUGUACACAAAUUUGAAUUACAUAGCAUGCCAAUAACGUACCAAAUUAUUGACACGUUACAUUUAGUAAAUAAAAGCAUUGAUAUAUAUAUAUAUAUAUAUAUAUGUAAUAUCGUUUAGAAUUUUAAAGUACGUUGGUACUUUUAAAAUAUCACGUUUGAUUUUUUUUUGUUUUUUGCAACCACAGUUUAACUUUAUUUUAUUUUAUAAACAAUUCAACUUUUAUUGUUUUUAUAGAACUUUUAUUGUUUUUUAUUCUUUUAAAAUAUAUUGAAAUAAAAAGAUAUAAAUUAACAAUAUAUUGAAAAAAAAUUAGAUAUUUGGUCUAAGAAAUUAAAAAACCGCGCAUCUAGAUCAAAAAGAUAUAAAUUAACAUUAUUUGUUUGUUUUUUAUUCUUACUAGACAACAAUUUAUCUUUUUUUUUGGCCUUCUGAGUGCUACUCGAGACUCCAACUUAUUAGAUUUUCCAUCAAUUUUUGAGAUCCCAAAUGGCGAGCCAAUGUUUCAACGCGUAUUCUAUUCACAUUUUACAACUAAUAAGAAUUUGCCUUGUGACUUGGUAACCAAUAACUGGUGUCUCUUGUACUAUUAUUAUGUUUAUCAUAUGAUUCAUAUGAUGCAUCUCAGUGUAAAAUCCGAUAUGUUUGGUAGCUGGAGAAUAUAUUCUCAAUUUGCAUUCCAAUUUGUAUAUAAUAACUCUUCUUCAUGCAUUCACUGCUACAGAUAGACUCUAUUCAAUAGAUGCAAUGAGCACCGAGCAGCAGAAUCCUUCUUCGUCUUCUAACCGGUGCACAUAUGAUGCAUUCUUGAGUUUCAGAGGCGCAGAUACACGCAAGGGCUUUACAGAUCACCUCUACAAUGCUUUGAAGUUAGCAGGAAUCCACACUUUUAGGGAUGAUGAUGAAAUUGAGAGAGGAGAAAACAUUGCACAGGAGCUACAGACAGCAAUACAAGAGUCACAAGUAUCAAUCAUUGUUUUCUCCAAGGACUACGCCUCUUCCACGUGGUGCC
rnacentral:lncRNA from 1 species